AUAAAACUUAGUUUAACGAUCACCCAUUUUGACCUAACUAUCUGACUUUUAAAAAUUUUAAUUUUAUUAUCUAAUUUUUUAUUUUAUUUUAUUUGAGCCUGAUAGUGAUUCUUUAACUUCAAAAUUCGAACGGGUCGUUUAUCUUCACGAGUUUAGUUAAUAUAUUUUAUAAAAUUCACGUAACUACAAUUUCAUUAAAGUAAGCAAGUAGCUUAAAUUUUGUAUGCGAAAAGUCAUCAAAUUUUUGAAACCAAACAGCUUGAAAGACUGGUUACUAAAAUCAAAAUUUAGUCAAAUCAAAAUAGUCUAUAGUUCAGGUAAAUUUUAUACAUUUUUACCUAUAUUUACAUUCUACAUCCCUACACACAACAAUCAUCUACUGCUACAUGCAACCUCUGUUCAGUUCAAGUCCAGCAAAAUCAUGCAUCCCUAGUACUUAGCCUCUAGGAUAAGCCUUCCAGAUAAUUUCCUUGAAAAUGUACAACAGCAAAGAGCAUAUGCCUCUUGUGCAAACCUUAUAAAAGAUUUUAUUUUAUUUUAUUUUAUUUUUCCAUCAACAAACAGAGUUGCAGAGAAUGUACUAAUAAAAACAGAUAUUGCAGACUUAAUGGAGGAAGUAUAAUAUUCCACAUAAGGUAGUAUCUUCAUUCAGAAGAUUUAAGUCCCAACAUCAUGAAAAGAACAUACAAAAGAUUAACAAAGAUUUUGGAAGGUUCUCAACUGCAAUUAAGGUCCAAAACCCCCAACUCUGUUUAAAUUCAUCAGGUCGAGAUCAAGAACACGAAUAUCAUUCCAUAUCUUUCAAUUCUGCUUAUAAACUCCAUUUUACAAUAUACUUAUUAGACAAAUCUCUAUUUGUAUUUGAAUAGAGCUGCGAAUUUUGACCCUUAAUUGCAUACAGAAACUUUGAAACACUCCAGUUCAGGAAAAUAAAGAAACAACAUGAAAAUUAAUAAUGGUACGAGACAAGAUAUAUUAAAAGAGUAGUUCGUAACCCCAAGUCAAGUUAAAGAGUAAUAACAAGAAGCAAGGUUAAACUAUACUUUUAAAGGCAAUGCAUAAAGAACCAUUUCUCUGGCAAAGUACAACUUAGCCACUUUUGGGUUCUGAUUUAUGACACCCAUUUCCUAUUUUUAUUACUUCGCAGCCCAUCAGGAAUAAAAAGCAAUGAUAUUCUACACUGGAAAUAAAUAGAUGACACAUUGAGACAUUGGAGGAGAGUAAUAAAUUAAAAAACAGUUCAACAAAAAAAAAAAUAAAAAGAGCAAAAGUAUGAGAAAAGUUCAAUUCCAUACAAUAUGAAUAAGCAAAACAGAGUAACCUUCAAAUUAAAAUAAUAUAAAAAAGCUAAAGUCAGCUACUUUAAGCUUGUUGUUUACAGCCUAUUAAUAAUGGAAGCAUUGAAUAUUCUAAAAUGGAAAAAAAGAGACAAAAAGAAGUUUCCAAUAAAAGUAGCAGAGAUAAAAGACAGUUCAGGUUUUCCUUAUCUUUGCAAAAAAGAAAAAUAAAUUUCAUCUGGUAAUUAAUUAGAAAGCUCUAGAAAUAAAAUGCAAAAUGAGAAAUAUCUAGUAUUUAAUCCAGAAAAAAAAAACUAGUGUCUCCUAUUCUCUUUAAAAAAAAAAAAUGAACCGAUAAAAAUACCUACAGACGAAUUAACGCCGAGAUAAGAUGUGGUGCAACAUAUAUAGCACACAAAAGCAAAAAAUUAAUUCCCAAUUUUAAAAAAAAGAAACGAAUACAUUAAGACCAGCAUUGAUAUUACACUAAAAAAAAAUGGCGGAAUGCUUCUGAAAAGAGGGAAAAACCAGUGUCGAUAACAAAUCAAUAAUACAUUAUUAAAAACAAAAAAACACAAUCUCAAAAACAGCUACAUACACAUUGGCAAAUACAAAGAUUAGCUAAUCGAUAUAUUAUAUAUAUCAUAACAUUUCCUACUACAAUAAUUAGCUAUACUUUAUCGGAGUCUAAUACACUGGUGGGGAGCCUCUCAGCAAUAGAAACCGAUUAAAAGCACAGCGGCAACAAAACCAAAAAAAUAAAUGAUAAAACUAAAGAAUAUUAAAGCAAAAAGAAUUAUAUUAAAUUAUACGAAACACAACAAUCAUAUUAUGUUAAAAGCUGCGGAAGGAGGAGGAGGAGGAGGAGGAGGAAGGGAGAUGGGGAUGGGGAUGAGGGAGGUGUACGGACAAGGCGGCGACGAAGGAGAAGCCGGAGUUGCCGAGGCGGUAGGCGGAGAGGCGGCGGAGGAAGCCGCGGGAGCGGCGGACGAGGCGGCGGACGGCGGCGUCGAUGAGGUCGGAGCGGUUGACGCGGCGGCACCAGGCCUCGACGUCGAUCUCCCCCCAGCAGUAGGGCCCCACCACCGCCUCCCGCCACGCCCGGCACACGAACGGCACCGUCCGCACCAUCUCGUCCGCCGCCAUCCGCACGAAUAUCAGCGCCAGUAUCUCCGGACUCAUCCCCUCCCCCCACCCUCCCCCCACUCCGCACCUCCUCUUCUCCUCCUUCUCCUCCAUCUCCCCCUCUCUCUUCCCUCUCUCNUGUUUGGAAAUGGACGAGGGAGCGAGAGGAGCAGCUCCUCAGCACAAGUUAUAGUUGCGAGUGGAGGAAUCACUUUGAUGCCUGAAACGAGUGUACAAGUCCCCCGCACAGAUUUGAAAACCAACCUUUUUAAAAACUCUAAUGAAUGCGGGUUUUAUACAUAUAGCUCUGAAAUUUUAAUAUUUUUUUUCCUUUUGAUAUCAGUGGCAUCGUAUUUGUUUCCGUACUGUUAAUUUUUCAAGCUUAUACAGUAGAAGAAAAAAUAUUGACUAUUGGAGUGUGAGUUAGAAAUAUGGAACCUGCGAAGACACUCCCAAAAGAAAAAAAAGAGAAAAAGAAAAAAGAAAUAUGGCACACGAUGUGUACGAAUACACCGGGUGCGGGCAACAGUUUCUUCGAGUGAGUGGGUUUCGCACGUACGUUGUGGCCAAAAGUGAGGUGGUCGGAUCGGUCGACGCGUGUCCAGCUACUUACGAGAUCGGACGGAUGGGAAUUUCGCUCGCCCCUUCAUUUCCCGAUUUGGAAACGACCCUCCUUUCUCUCCCUGGCGCCUGCUGUUCUGGUAGAGUGGUAGUGCGUAAGUCGGUGAGUGGGGGAUUUAUUUUUUGGCGUUUUGUUAUACGAGGUAGGAAUAGUUUUUAUUGUUACUUAUUAUUAGAGAGGGGAUGAAUAAUUGAAUAAUUGUUGAAAAUAAAGAGGGGAAAUUAUUCAAUGGGCUUGGGCCACCAUGGGCCGCACCACGAAGUUUCGCAACACCGGUCGAAUUAGAACUCCGAGUCAGCUCAAGAAGUAGGAUAGGCGAAUCAUUUUUUUAUUUUGUUCAUUCUUUAGAAGAAAAAAAUCGGCUAGAAAUAUAAAAUAAUUCGCUUUCAAACUUAUAACAUCAGGUGCCACUCACUAGCGACCAAGCAAACAAUAAUCUCUAAUUGCUCUGUUUGAGAAAAUAUAUAUUUAUUUGACAUCUCAAGUUGUCAUUUUUUUCUUAUUAGACUUAAUAUUGCACGACAGAAUGAACAUUUGUGUAGGAUAUUACUUACUUUACAUAAAGAACAGAAUCAAAAUAAGACUUACAACUUACGUGAAAGUUCAGUAACUAAUUAUGCAAUUUUUGUAUCUUAACAUUUACCAUAACCAUGAGGAUUUUUUUUCUAAAAGGCCGUCUAUAGGAACUGAUCAAAGCGAAUAGUAUGCCUGACCUUUCGAACUUUAAAACUACUACAAAUAAUCUCACCAUUUCAAUUAAUCAUCCAAUGCAUAAAACUUUGCAACUAUUGAUGAAACUUCUCUUGUCACAUGAUCCUUUGAUUAAAUUCACUUCAUUUCUCUGUUCUUUUGAUUGCAUAAAUUACUUUAUAGACAUUUGGAUAAAUUAAAUUUUUUUUUUGAGAAAAAAGUAGCACGCUACCCGCUUCAUUCAUUAGGACUGAAGCAGAGAAGCACUAGAUCCAUUAAAUAUUAUUGACAGUAUUAUUGAUAGUAUUUGUUAAGAAAAACAAUAUAGAGAGAGAACUGGGGCCAGAGAAGCACUAGAUCCAUUAAGGUCACAAUCCAUGCAUCAAAUGUCUUUACUCUUUGCAGUUGAAUAUGUAUACAUCUACUUUCUCGAAUAAUAUUUUACGAUCGAUUACGACGACAAAGGCAAGUCUACUUGGAAUCCUGUCGAGGCAUAUUAGCCGGUCAUAUAUGUCCAUGCUAGGAAAAAGUCUUUACUAUAACUAUUAGCAAAAAAUAGAACUUUUUUAAUAAAAAAAAAUAAGUUAUCAGCUUCAUUUGCUAUUAUUUUUUUUAAAAAUGAACUCAACUAAAAAUAUGAAUCAAUUAAGUUUUGAAUUCGGAAGCUUAGAUACCAACCAUCUAGCUGCAAUACCUCUCUCAAAAGUGUAGAUAACAGAAAUUAUAAGGCUAAUCCGCUAGAUCAGAUGAGCCGGAGAAGGAGCAACCUGGCUUGGAUUGUACGCUGGUUCUUGUUCUCCAAAAGAAAGUUUGAGACCGAAACUCCAGUUUGAUUGAGGCAGGGCCGAAUUUUCGCAUCAACAGUAACAGGUGCAUGUACCACAUAAGAAAUAUUUCAAAUCAAUUUUAUUGUAUCAUGUAGAAUGACAAGGGAGUAUAGACAGAGGUAAAAUGAUAAUUUAACGUAAAAUAUUUUUAUUAUUGUAUUUGCGUCAAUAUGAAAGUUUUUAAAUAGACGUCCACUUAGAGCAAAUUAGGAAAAAAUGGUAAACUAAUUUUUUAUUAGUUAUUGUCCACAUUCACGACGCAUCUUAGGCAUCUUCCGUUUUCGGAAUCAGCUCUCGUUGGCCAUUAAUUCUCCAAACAAAAUACAGGUAUAUAUAAAUACGGAGGCAAAUUGUUUAGGGUGUGGCAACAGUACGUGGAAGCUCAAUGGACACGGCAACUCUUUGUUGGUAUUCAGGUCUCUUGUUUGGCCUCCUCCCUUUGCUUCUCCAAAUUAUCUGGCACUGGAAUGAUCUUCUAUUCUUGGCCAAACUCAAGCUAAGAUAUGGCCUUUCCGAGAACAGCAAUGGUGGUGGUCACAGGCUCCCCCCUGGCCAAAUGGGUUUGCCAUUUCUGGGGGAGACACUGAGGUUCCUUUGGUACUUUAAGAUCGCGCGCCGCCCCGACGACUUCAUCAACUCAAAGAAACAGAAGUAGGAUGGUUCUCAACCUUUUGUUUUCAUGCAUCUGUUCUUCUCAAAACGUUUAAAUGCAGUUUUCUCUUUUGUUGUAAGAUAUAGGAUGUAGUGCACAAUAUUAGCUAUGCCUGGUAUUUUAUGCAUUAAUUUGUUGUGAUUUGGAAUUGUGGGUAGAUAUGGAGAGGGAAUCGGCAUGUACCGAAGCCACCUAUUCGGCAAACCGACCAUCAUAUCAUGCACCCCAGCCAGCAACAAGUUCGUGCUGCAGUCCCCGGACUUCCCCCUAAAAUGGAUAACCCCCGAACUUCUGGGAGUCAAGUCCAUGUUCAACGCCGAAGGCACGCAACACGCCCGGAUCCGGUCCUUCGUCGUCGACGCCGUCAACAGGCCCGACUCCCUGCGGAGGAUAGCCAACGUCCUGCACCCGACUGUCGCCGCCGCACUCUGCUCGUGGUCGGAGAAGGGCACCAUCGCUGCUUAUUCUGAGAUCAAGAAGGUUAUGACAUGCUCUCAUAUAUAUGUUUGAUUAAGCUGCUAGUAAUUAAAGCGUGAAAUUCAAUCCGAUUAUAUUGUUUGUGUUGAUCAGAUGACCUUCAAGAACACAUGCAAAAUGUUCGUAAGCAUCGAGCCUGGACCUCUAUUCGAAGCACUCGAUAAGUACUUCAAUGGCACGACUCCAGGAAUCAGGGCGUACCCGCUGAAUUUCCCAGGAACAGCACUCCAUUAUGCUCUCAAGGUUUGACAUCAUCUUAAAACGUUGUGACUAUAAGAACCUUAUAAUUGGACUAAAAUAAAAACAUUAUGUGAACAUUCAGACCAACCAAGUUAAUAGAUUGAACUUAGUUAAAAAGUCUUAAUGUGUACAGUGCCGGCGAAAACUCACGGCAGUGUUCAGAAGAGAAGUGGAGAGGAGGAGGAAGGGGAGAAGUGAAGGCAACCAUGAGAGCAAGGAUCUAAUGGAUGGAUUGAUGGAUAUAGAGGAUGAAGAAGGGAAGCAUUUGAGUGAUGAUGAGGUGGUGGAUAACAUAGUCUCUUUGGUUAUUGGAGGCUAUGAAUCUGUCACCCUCACUUCCACCUGGGCUCUUUAUCUACUGUCCAAGUCACCGCAGGUUCUUCAAAAGCUCAGGGUACUGAAACUGUUAGCUAUCAUAUAAAACUGCUACAACUUUACAUAUACGAAGAAUAAGAAAUGAUUCAGUACUUGUGAUUGAGGAAUUAUAUUGUGUCAUGUGAUGUUUCCAGGAGGAGAAUAUGGCAGUAGGAAAGCGUGCUAACGGAGAUCCGAUAACCUUCGAAGAUAUAUCAAAGCUGAAGUACACAGCAAUGGUUUGGCCUCAAAUGAUCUUCUGGGUUAAUGCCUUUUAUUUUCUGAUAAUUGAUUGAUUACUUCAGUGAUCUAGAGAAGAAUGUGAUCAUUGGUUCUCUCUGUGUCAAUUCAGGUUGUAGAAGAAUCGAUUCGGAAGGCGAAUAUUGUGUCUCUUCUUUGUCGAGUAGCUAAAAAGGAUGUUGAAUAUAAAGGUAAACAAACAAGCAAUUUAUAAGAGUUGGCGAAAGAAAUGAUUUUCAUUAGCUAAACAUAUGGACUUUCAAAAUACCCAUUUUGUUCUACUAAUUGAUUCGUAAUUUGUUACCGACCGACGAUGUCGUCUUUUCAUGAUCUUUCUGUAAAAAAAUUGAUAUGUGAUUGAUAAUUUGAGUUAAUUGGUUUUGUCUACAAGGAAUAUAUAUAUAUAUAUAUAUAUAUAUAUAUAUAUAUACGCGCAUCUUAGUGGUGUGACCUAUGAAAAUGGACAAACUUGCACAAUUGGUCUAGUCGCAAUGUCACAUGAAGCUGUAUGAUCAGUAAACUGUUGGCAUAUGCAGGCUUCAGAAUACCUAAAGGUUGGCAAGUUCUUGUUUGGAUCCGGUCGCUGCACACGGAUCCAAAAUACUUCGAUGAUCCGAUGUCCUUUGUUCCAGAGAGAUGGGAUGUAAGUUACGCACAUACUCUGUAGUUUUUAGCUUACACGAUUAGAGAGAACUGGUAAAUGUAUACGCGUGCUUAUAUGCGAAAUCUAACAAAGUUAACAUCAAAUGACAUGCCGACUCAUGACAAAUAUCAUCUCAAAUCAUAGAGGAGGAAAAUCUGUUGACAUGUGCAGGUACCAGUGAAGCCCAGUGGAUACCAAGGCUUUGGCGCGGGACCAAGAAUUUGUGCUGGAAAUAUGCUCGCCAGAUUGCAGAUCACUGUCAUUCUUCACCAUGCAGUUCUCGGCUACAAGUAAACAUGGCGCCGUCUCUUUAACUCUCCUAGUGAUAUUUACGUUAUUUCCAUUUACUAAAAAUGAGUACAUGCAUGGUCAUAUAAUAAAGUACUAAUUGAAUUAUGUGGGUAUUUCACAGGUGGAAGUUAGUUAACCCUGACGCGAAGAUUAAGUACCUUCCUCAUCCACUGCCAUGCGAUGGUGCUGUCAUGGACUUCGCAGCACUUUGAUGAAGUAAUUGGGUUAGAACCAAAUGCAAUCAUACAAUGGCUCUUGCUCUGAAUUAUGGUUCUUAGGCUCUUCUGUGGUAUGUAAAAUGAAUAAUUUGCAGCAGAAGCAGAGCAUGUAUGUACUUGAAUUACUAAGUUGUAAACUUUGAGAGAUGGGAGUUUAUUUGCUUUCCAGAAACCAUAAUGGAACUUAUUGAAUCUCUACAAAAACAGGAAAUAAAACUGCACAGUGACAAUAAAAAGUCUUAUUUGAGACCGCCGAUCUAGGAAAUUAAUUCAAUUCGUUGAAACUGUAUGGAGAUCUCCCUAAAAUUAUAGGCUAAUCAGAAGUGACCUCCUCAAUUAUAAUUUUUUUGAUUGAAUGAUUUCAGUCAGAUGAAUUAAAAAUUUUACUAAAUCAACUAAUAGUUUGAAUUACUUUGUAGCGAAAAGUAAUAUCCGGAUACACCAGAUGCCUAUGAACAGCCUAUGCAAAACAAACUAGGAUUUGUAUCAGUACUAUACAAAAUGGUAUACUAAUUAAUGAAGUUCUUUCUUUGGAACUACAAGGGUUUUGUCCUCCUACGGUAUCCAACGGGCACAAAUAAGUUGACUUCAACAAAACAGACAUCUAAUUUACAUAUCUAAUACAGUUGGCUACAAAUUUAAUAAUUGAUAUUCAAAAUUUAAAAUUUAAAAUUUAAUUAUUUUAUAAUUUAAACUAAAUUUAUUUCUGAAAAAACAAAUGAACUGAGACGAAUAGCAUCGAAUCUUUCUCUAGAAAAUACAAAAACAAAAAAGACACCUAAUUUGAACCGGUCAAAGCGCCUCCGCAGAGUCAAUAGAGACGGGUCAACCCCAGCUUCAAGGCUCUUUAACAUUGAUUUUGGUUUAGCUGGCUCCGCCUCUCUUGAAACAAAAAAAAUCUUUAUUAUAUAUAUAAAAAAUAAAUAAUAAUAAAAUAUAAUUAUUAUAAUUAUUAUCUAUAAAAGUAUAUUAAUAAAAUUUUUCUUCCUGAAUAAGUGUCGGAGUGUUUGAGUGUAAUGCUCAUAUAGUUGCAUAAUAUAGUCUUUUGAUGGGAUGGUGAGAUUAGUUUAUCUGUUUAUUGAGCUUUUUUUUUUUUUUAAGGAAUAAGUAGUAUAUUAUCUGCUUUUUCAAUGGGAGAAUGAACUUAACUAUAUGGGUGAGGGCAAAUAGGUCUCAGAGAGGUGGCGUGAAAAAAAAAAAAAACCUAUGUUACAGAUAAUUAGCAGAGUGACCCUUAGUAGGGUUGACCGAAAAGGAUUCCACAUUGGUUAUGUAGCUGUUUAAUGUUAAGGAUUUAUAGAAAAUGAUCAGACUUAAUUAUUGGUAUAUUAGCUGUUUAUUGAGCCGUAUUAAUUAUGCUGGAGUUUAUUACUUUUACAAAUAUAUUAUUUACCACUAGAAAAUGCAACAUUUCGCGUAAAUCAUAGCUGAAAAUUAGAUUCCCAAAAAGGCUCUAUAAAAAAAAAAAAGCAAAAAAAACAUUACUUAAAAUUGUAACUUUUUGUGGUCACAAGCUCGUUUGUAAUUUUUUCGCUUCUACAUGAUUGAGAACUAAACAAUGUUUAUUUGCAGAUAGAGAUUGCUACUUUUUAGAUAAAAAUUGUUCCGAGUGACAAAUUGGCAUAUAAGUCAAAAAUAUUGAUUUAAGAGGAGUUCUCACAGGUACAUGUUAAUCGGAUAUAUUGUCAUAAUUCGUAUUAAUAAUGCAAAAAUAAUAUCUCUACAUCUAUAAUACAUGUAAUUAUACUCUUCUAAUCUAGAUUAUAAUUGAAAAAAAUAAAUUAAUUUUUAGUGUUAAAAAAUGUAAAAUUAGAAAAAAAGAAAGGCUUUUGCUUAAAUCCAAUUAUUUUGGGCUUGUGCAUACAUCGGGCUGCCUUGUUUAUCUUUGUGUGCAAAUUCGGUCGCUUUUGUUCAGAAACUGACCUAAGUAUAUUGAUUUUUUCUCUUUUCUUUCUCUUCUCCAUCUUCGUUCUUUUUUUUUUCUCACGGAAAAAAAACGUAGGCCAGCGGAGCAAUUUUUUUUCUCUUUAUUUUUUUUCUUUUCUUCCUCAUGCUGGAACGUACCUUUUUUUUUCGUUUUUCUUCUUCUUCUUCUUUCUCCUGUAAGGCAACGGGGGUGGCCACAGGGCGACUUUCCGGCCUCGCAAGUGGCGGUCACUCCGCGGCGUUCUGCAGGGAGAGGUCGCAUGGCGACGCGAGUCGCGCGCGGAGAGGUUGGGGUUGCGGGCGCGGGAGGGAGCGCGAGUGGAGCAGCCGAGGUGUCGCAGCGGGGACGUGCGUCCGAGUGAGGCGGGGGUCUACUGCGCGGCGGUGAGGCUCCGCUGAGCGUCGUGGUCGUCGCGUCGCAUCUGCUGAGGCUGCUUCUUUUCUUUGUAUGGUGUAAUGAUGGUUACGCGGGCGGUGACGCACGGUGCGAGCGGCGGGCGGCGCGGGGGCCCCACUUUGCCCAGGGGGCUCGCUUCUUCUUCCUAUACGUUAGCUAUAUGGUAGACUUAACGUGAACGGCCGUCAGGGCUCCAAAUGUCCAUAGUGAGUAUCUUUUUAACAAGUUGCUCGUGAGUAUUACCCACGAUUCAUACUAGCGUGCACACUUUCCAUGUGAAAGAGUUGUACCAUUUCACAUGAGAAUCUUCUUAGGAGGUCCUUUGCUUUCGGUGUGUGUGUGGGAAUGUUACUAAUUUUACGCAAAUACUUAAAAAAUAAAUAAAAAUUUUAUAUUUUACUCAUCUAAUGAAUAGAAUUUUUUUACUGACUAUCUCAAUAUGACUAAUAAAAACAUCUGGCCUAUUAGAUUAAUAAAGUGUAAGAUAUACACCUUAAAUAAAAUGUACAGAUAAUAUUUUUUUAUAAACCUUGGUUGAAAAUGGUUCAAAACCUCUCAACUAGAAGCUAUUUUGAAAUAGCUCCCUUUAUAAUCAAGAUUCUCUAAAUUUUUGAUUUUUUAAAAUUGAAUUAUUAUCAUUAAGUUUUUUGUAAAUUAUCUUAGCUGUUAAUUAUUAUAAUUUAAUUUACUAAAAAAAUACAAAAAUUGACAAAUUUAAUAAUAUUAUAUAUAAUUUAAUAAUAUUUUUAAUUUUUAUGUUCAAAAUUAUAUAUUUUUUUUAGAGAGAUAGAUAGCACGCUACCCGCUUCGUUUAUUUCAUUUAAAAAUAAACUUAGCUGGAAAUGUGAAUCAAUUAGAAUUCGAACUUGGGUCUCGGAUAUCAACCAUCAAGGCUUUUGCCACUUGCUCUAGGAACAGUCGGUAUGUCCAAAAUUAAUUAAUUCCAAAAAAUUGAAGCUUAAGACGGUUUUAAUUAAAAAAAAAAUUUAAAGCUUAGGGUCCAUUUUAUAAUCCGAGCCAAUCACGCGCUCCGAUGCGAUCAACACCGUCCAAUCGGUAGACCAAUGGGGACUCUCCACGUGGUCCCGUGGUUGCUGAAUGCUGACCAAGGUUCUAUAUUCGGUCUCAUCGUUCUCCACAAUUACCACCAUUAAAGGCCAUAAUUGCGAAAAUGCCACUCAGCCGUCGCACAAUUCCGUUCCUACCCUUUCCUUCUCCGAUAAAUAGGAGCCGUUGCCCUCGUUCGCCGGAGUCCACCAUUUCCGCUCCACUGUCCGUUGAAAGCCCACGCGAGGCGGAAGAGAGAGAGAGCCCUUUAUUGGAGCCCUCUCUCCACCUCCUCCUUUCGUCUCCAUUCGUCUCCAUUUCCCCUCCUCUCCUCGACCCCAAACCCUAACCCUAACCCUAACCCUCGAAGAUCACAGGGGAUCUCCUCGUCCUCCUCUACGGAGUCGUUGUCCUCAAUGGAUCUCUCCGACAAGUCUCGCCAAUCGCUUCUCCCGAGCUUCCUCUACUCGUCCACGGCAACGAAGACCGUGGGACUGGAGAGGAUCCUCGGCCGGAACCCUAGCUCCGCCGAGCCGGCGGCGCCGGCGCUGACCUCGCCGGUGGAUCGCCGGGAUUCGGCCGGAUCCUUCCUCAUCCAGGCGCCGAGCGAGCCCAGGAAGAUUGAGAUGUACUCGCCGGCGUUCUACGCCGCCUGCACCGCCGGGGGGAUCGCGAGCUGCGGGCUCACGCACACGGCCGUCACCCCGCUCGAUAUCGUCAAGUGUAACAUGCAGGUGAGCACGAUUGAUCCGCUUUUAGAUUGGAUUGUGAUGUUAGGGCUACCUUUGUGCUAGUUGGAAUUGGAAGGGAUAGCGCUGUGUUUUAUGCGAAUUGUUGGGGGGAUGUCCUGAAUCUAUGAUUAUGCCAUGUGUUAAUCACUAUUAAUAGUUUGUUUCGUUUGUUCGGAUAUUUCUUUGUACCAAUACCUUGUUCUUAGUACCAACAUAUUGGUCGAUUGACCUGCGAAUUUGCAUUUUCUCUUUUUUUUUUUUCCAAUUGAUGACGAGAUCUAAAAGUUGGAAGGUUAAUAUCACAUCUUCCCUUUAAUUUUUUGUGUUUGACUUUAGUAUUACAAAAAAUUAUUACAUCCUUUUUUUUAUUCAAACGGGUGUUUUCUGGAGGAAAUUCGAAGCCUUACAUAUUGAUCUUUUUAACUAUUGUACACUACUGAUUAUGAAACUUACCAAUUAAUUAUUUCGAUUCGUCUAUAGAUGAAUUUAAUAAAAUUUGAGGGUUUUAUGUAAAUUAAUUUUGUGAUCAUACUUGUGAUUUGAAGAAGCACUCUCUUUAUACAUGCUUCUGAUAUGUAUUGAAUACAGAAUAUAUAGUAAUGCCUAAUUUUGUAGAAUUUUUUUUUUUUUUUUCUAUUCCUUUGUGGCCUGUACCUCCUUAUCAUUGUUGAACAUAUUUUUCAUGAUUGUGAUUCUUUUUCCCUCCCUGGUAUCUUUAGGAAAACAGCACAUUUUUGUCAUAAAUUCCUCUAGAUGUUAUUUGCCUAAUUCGAAUUGCUAUAACGAUGCGUCCAAACUGAAGUUUUUUAUCUGAAAUUUCAGAUUGAUCCAGCUAAGUACAAGAGCAUUUCAUCAGGAUUUGGUAUCCUUCUCAAAGAGCAAGGUUUCAGGGGCUUCUUUAGGGGCUGGGUGCCAACGCUUCUUGGUUACAGCGCUCAGGGGGCAUGCAAAUUUGGCUUCUAUGAGUUCUUCAAGAAGUAUUACUCGGAUAUUGCUGGACCCGAGUAUGCUGCCAAAUACAAGACCUUGAUCUACCUUGCAGGGUCUGCUUCUGCUGAAUUCAUUGCUGAUGUAGCACUCUGCCCCAUGGAGGCAGUGAAAGUGCGAGUGCAGACGCAGCCGGGGUUUGCCAGGGGUUUGUCUGAUGGGCUCCCGAAGUUUGUCAAAUCUGAAGGCUAUCUUGGGUAGAAUCUCAUUUUCCUUGAUCUUCUUUCUUGUUUGAUGCUCCCUCCUAUUGCGUUUCUAAAUAAUUUUUCUCAUUUUGUUCUGAAUAACAGAUUAUACAAAGGAUUGGUUCCUCUCUGGGGGCGUCAAAUUCCUUGUAAGUACUUCUAUUCGCCAUUUUAGACAGCUAGUUCUGCUAGAAAUUCUAUUUUAUGUCUUAAGAAACUCUGCUUUUGAUACAUAUCACGAGGCACUUUGUUAGAUGUGGAUAAUUUCUGAAUCAAAGCAACUUUAUUUGUGAAUACAGGAGUUGUAUUUUUUGCCAUGAGUGCUUGCCCUAGAACAUGAUUGGUGGUUUUGUUCAGUCAUUUUGAAAUGACAAUUGUUCUUGCAUUUUAUGUAUGGUUUUCAAUAUUUUAUGUCUGCACACAGAACCAUCCCUAUCUAGAUGUAAUUGGAGACAGAGUAGAAAGGAAGUUGUUUGCAUUGUCUUGCUAACAUAGAAUCAUAAGAAAUGCCUUAGCUUUUACUAUCGGGGUUUAGAUGUAUCAAUCAUGUCGUUAUCUUUGUUUAGAUGUAUUAAUCAAUUUAGUGCAACAUGGGCUUUACUGCUGGGGGCUUUGCCAAAAAUGCAUAUCAUGUUUGCUAAUUAGUAGCAGCUUCAAAUGUUUUAUAACAGCCACCCAUCGAUUUCUUGUGCUUCUUCCUUGUUAGAGUUACUUUCAAACAUUGCCAAGUUUGAGUUCUAUUUAUACGUUACAGCUGUAAACAGGAAAUGCUGCUAUAUAAUUCUUCCCUAGUUGAACUUACAGCACUAUCAAACUGGUUUGCACACUCCAUAGUUUACCUUUUCUGAUCUGCCGAUGCCUUGACAAAAAUAGUACUUGUUCCACUAGUAUUUAUGGUGGUGCAACCCACCAAAACGCAGACCCCCUUGCAGCAUUUUCAUUAUUUUUUUUAAUUUAAUCAUAUAAUGCAGAUACCAUGAUGAAAUUUGCAUCGUUCGAGAUGGUCGUGGAAAUGAUCUAUAAAUAUGCCAUUCCCACACCAAAGGAUCAGUGCAGCAAGCCUCUUCAGCUUGGCGUGAGCUUCGCCGGCGGUUACAUUGCUGGGGUCUUCUGUGCCAUUGUAUCUCACCCGGCCGACAACCUCGUCUCCUUCCUUAACAAUGCAAAGGAUGCCACUGUCGGCGAUGUAAGUUAAAUCUGUAGCUUUUUCUUCUUUGUAAAUCUUUUUAUUGCCGGCUGCCCAUAAUUCCUUCAUUUUCUGAUUCUUUUGCUUUGCUUGUGUAGGCCGUGAAGAAGCUCGGCCUUUGGGGGCUAUUCACUAGAGGGCUUCCUCUUCGUAUUGUUAUGAUUGGUACUCUCACUGGGGCACAAUGGGGUAUCUAUGAUGCUUUCAAGGUUAUGGUUGGCCUGUAAGUAUUUUCUCCGAGACUUCUCUAACUUUUUUUAAAAAGAAUUGCGGCAAACUCUCUAUUUUGUGAAGGAUAAAAUCCUGAUGUGUUGAAUAUAUGUUCUUCAGGCCAACAACAGGUGGAGUUGCCCCUGCUGCAGCUCCAGCCGCAGAGCUCGCUCCACUGAAAGUCAGUGCUUGAUUUUUCUGAAGCAGUAACUAGAAGUGAUUUCUAGCAUUUAUUUUGCCCAUUCUUGGUGAGAUUGUAGUAAUUUCCAAAGAGCAUUGCUUGUUUUGAUUUUUUUUGUUUCUUGUGUGUACCUUAAGGGGAUGGUUUUGGUCUCAUCCCAAAGGCUCGUGAAUUUCAGAAGCUCAUUUAGAGAUUACAGUAGUUGCCUGCACCAUAGUAUUUAAAGGGUUACCAAAGAAUAAGCUGGAGGACAGUGAAAAAUAUUAUUGUACACAUUUUAUUAUCCCUCGAGAUUUGCAGGGAUUUAAUUACAUGUUUCUUCUCCUCUUACAUCAUCUCUUCGGAUUUACAAGUAAAGCAUAUUCAAUAGUACAUCAGGCUACCAUGUUCUUGUUUCACUUUGUAUGAUGGCGAUGUUAGCUACGGUGAUAAUUACAUUUCUUUUGUCCUCGAGUCUUUAUGUAACUAAGUUGAUUGGAUUUCAAAUGCUAAAGUGCAAGCUGAGUUUCUCUUUUUUUUUUUUACAAUUACUGAGCUUGUUUCUCUUGUUUCCUUUUUUUUUUUUACAAUUACCGAGCUUGUUUCCAAAUUCCCAUUUAUUCACAUCUGGGGUCAGGAAAUUUUAUCUCCCCUUUAAAUGAACUGUUUAGAAAAUAGGACUGACUUUCACUAGCUUCCUCAAAUUUCUCUUUGUAUCAAGCUGGAAACUAUCAAAAAACCAAAAAGAAAAAAAAGAGACCACCAAAAAACAACAAAAAAAAGGGAAAAAAAUUAUGCUGGGUAAAACCAAAACUAUCUAAGCAAUGAUGAGUAGAAUCUCCUAUCGACAAAGAACAUGAUGUUGGUUGAUUAAUUUCCAACAGCAUCAUUGUGUUGGUCUCUUGCAUUUACUAUUUUGCACCAAAAUUUUGUAGUUUAGGUCUGAAUGAGUCCAUGACUCAUUACAACUGAAACUAAUUCAAACCUGCCAUUCUCAACACCCUUCUCAGAAUCCACAGAAAUUGUGAAUCUGAAAGGGCUGUUCUUACCUUGUCGCAGCAGAACUUUAAUCAAGAUUCGCCAAAUAAGAUAAAAGUUGUGUUUCUUUCUAGUCACACUGCCUUCCAUGCUCUGUUUCUGUUUGGCAUCUACAAGUUCCACCCCUUUCGACAAUCCUGGCUCCAAAGUUUCCCCUAGUAAGGAACUUUGUUUUGUGUCUUCGAAGAAGCAUUUGAAGACGUCCUCAGCGGUAACAUUUGCGAAUAAGAUCUCGGCAGCUUUGUUCCUCACAAGCAGAGGGACUUGUCCUGUUUGGUCCCAAACAUACAGCUGUAUCCACCGGAAUUUGGCAUCACCAAGUUUAAAGACACAUAUAACACAUUCAAGAUGCUGAUGUCUACAAAUCAAACAGAGGUAUUUUUGCGCUGGUAGACUACAGCAUAUGGACCCCAAAAAAUUGAAGUAUUCUGAAAUGUUAAAUACAAGCACCAAUGUUUUUUAGGUAUAAAAUCUCACCAUGAAUGGUCGAUAUAUCUGGCGUACAUCAUGAAGAUACUUCGAGCUGCUCUGACAGUACAGCGGAUAUCUAUCAUUUCCAGAUAGAUUUUACCAAACAAAAUUAUUAGUGCAUGUUGCUUCAGUACAGAAACUAUUAUUGUAAGAACAAAAUUUGCCAAAUCUCGAAAAAAAAAAAAUCCAAGAAAAUCAGGAAAGUGAUGCCACAACAAACCUGGUAUCUACUGGGAAGCCACAUAGCUUGCAUCCACUAGUUAUAAGGUCUUCCACAAUCUUAUUGUUCAUCUGUAGUCUCUUGCAUGCAAAUUGUUGCUCUUUUUCACCAGGAUUCCAGGCGAAUGUCAAAAAGAUAUCACCAACGCAGGCACAAAUGUUUGCAUUGCACGCACUGGAGAGGCAUAACAAUUCUGAGAUUGAGGAACAGUUCUUUGAUUUCUUUUCAUCAACUGCUGUCCAGUUUUUUAAUUUUUUCUGUCAUACCAAUCAUAAUAUUGAAAUGUUUAGUAUUUCAGAAGAAUAGGUUCCAUAGCUACAAACAAAAAUUAAACAGAGUCAGAUACUAGAGGAAGGAUAGCUUUUGGUACAUUGACACAAAAACGAGAAAUCUGAUACUGGUAUUAAACAAAUUAUUUAGGUUCACUUUGCCAAAUCGAAGGGUGAUCAAUAUUCAAAUUGUCUUGUUUCAUCUAUUACAAUUGAUUUUCUUCUACUUUCAGUCAAGAUUAACUCAUAAAGUUUCUUUGAUUUGCACACCAUGUCAAGACUUCUUGAAAAAGUCUAUGCCCCAUGUGAACAACAUGUGAUACGAGACUUAAUCCUUAACAACAAAACAGCUAAUUUGUUCAGCUAAGAUGGUUAAAAAGAGCGUAAGUUAUCUUAAAUCUAAUCACAUGAAACUUCCUUGUGGCAAUUAAAUGAGUUGAAAUGUGAAUGACCUCUGUAUGCUGCGGAGGCAGUGGAAAAUAUUUUAUGGAACUUAACCUGUCCGACGUGCUGAAGCGCCGAUUCAGUAUGCAGCACCCAUUUUAAUACCCUCUGAAACUUUUCUCUCGAGGCCUCCCCCAAUUUAACAUUUCGUAUUAGGUCAUCGCUUCCUGUAUAAUCUUGCAGAAGUGACUGUAUAAUCUUUUAACCAAAAUAAUGACAAAUAUCUUUGAGAGCAGAGAUAUAUAGCUGCCCUAAAAUCACAAAAGCAAUGGAUCUACAUAGCUAAACAUCUACAGAGAAAGGUGGCAAAAUUGCUUGUGCAGUUAAAAGAUUAUGAUGGUGAUUCUAAUUAUAUCAUCAAAGAUCAUAAAAUUUAAACAUCAAGGUUGUCUAUCCUCAAACUUCUAUAUCAGAUCUCCUCCCCCUUCUUAUCAUCAACUUCCCACCCUUCGACAAAAGAGGUCAACGUAAGGACGUAAAUCAACAAUUUUUCCUUGUAUCAACUACCGAGCGACCUAGCGAAAUAGAUAGGAGCAGGGCAUUAAAGCAUACAAAAUCUUCGGGCACUCAAUUCAAUACCUUUACACGCAAUUAACCGGUCACGAUGUGCGACGACUUGAAGUGUCGAGAUCUGGACAGUUUUAGCCUCCGUGAGGUUUCUGAAUCUUACAAUUUUAACAUCUGGAGCAAUGCGCAAGUCAUAGCAUGAUUAGCAACUGCAUCAAAAUGUCCCCCUAUUUUGAAUUAUCUCAGAAAAAUAGCGAAAAAUGAGUUGCAAGUCAAGAUCCUAACUCUGCAGCAAUAUAAUGUCGCCUGCGACGAUCAUCGAUCCCAUGUGCUUUGACCAAACAGAUACGAAGAAGCUCGACCUCGUAUCAUCUGCAACCUGAAUCAUAGUCUUUAGUAACGCCCCCGCAUUCGAACCAUUCGGUUUCUGCGCAAAAUCAUCUAGGGUUUAGAAAAAGCAUGAACAUCAAUACGAGAUUGAGAUCGCACGCAGAUCAAAAGUUCGUAAAAGUAACUAUUCAAGAUCCGUAACUGAAAAAUAAGUUAAAACUGCAGUGUUCUAAUCGCUAACAUCAAAAUUUCAAACCGAUCCUUGUCUCGAUUGAAAAGGCGACACGGAACACCUAAAACCCUAACAAGAACAAAAAGAGGGACCAGGAUGGGUUGGGAGUGGCGGACGAAGACGAGGAGCUGGACGAAGCCGCCGCCGCCGCCGCCGCCAUCGUCGAGAUGUGACUCCGCGCUCGACAGGUCGAUCAGAGGGCCGUACCAUCCCACCGCCGACAUGACGAUGCUUUGUUUUCUUUUUUUCUUAAAAGUAAUCGAAAUCACAGAAUCUUCGUAUAAAUUAUCUCCUAACUAAUUCAUAAUUUAGUUUGGAGGAGGGGAAAAUAGAAUAAAAAGAAUAAUGAAUAAAAGAUAUAAAUAAUAAUAAUAAUAAUAAUAUUCAUUAUAUUCAAAUUUAAAUUUUUAAAAUUUUAAAUUUUAAAAUUCAGGAUUUAAAAUUUAAAAUUUUUAAAUUGUUAUAUUUCAAAUUUUAAAUUUUAAAAUCAAUAUAAAUAUAAAAAUAUAAAAUAUCAAAUUUUAAAGGCAAUUUGCAUAAAAAAUCCACUUAUUUUUGGCUUUUGCAAACCGGGCACCUUUUCAUUUUUAUAGAUUCGGUUCGUUUUUCAGCAACUGACCAAAAUACCCUUAUCCUUUUUCUUAUUCUCUUUUUCCAUAUUCCUAUAAAUUUCUUUCUCUUCCCAGAGAGCGGAGGAGGCGGCUUGUCCGGCUCAUCCUUACCCUCGCCCGUACACCUCCGCACCUUCCUCGCCUCCGACCCUGCCGAGGCCGCACAGCAACUUUUUUUUUUCCCUCUCCGACUAUUCUCUACCGUUUCCGACGACGACGCCCUCUCGCCUUCCCCGCCCUUCUCGUCCUCUCCCUCACCUUCCUCCUCUGCCGCCUCCGACGACGACGUAUCUUCGUUGGCGCCGACAACAUGCCGACGCAUCCUUACCCUCGCCUGCACACCCCCACACCUUCCUCGCCUCCGACCCUGUCGAGGCCGCGCCGCGACUUUUUUUUAUUUUUUUUUCCUCUUCGACUCUCCUCCACUAUCUCCGACGAUAACGCCGCUCUUGUCCUUCUCCGCACUUCUCGUCCUCUCCCUCUCCUUCUUCCUCUGCCGCCUCCGAAGACGAUGCAUCUUCGCUGGCUCCAACGCCGGCGCCGACACUAUGGAGAUCACUGCGACGCUGCAGCCUCGGAGCGGGGGGUCCUUAGCGGCAUCGUCGCCGGCGCCGUGGAGAGAGGUGACCAAAAAAAAUUAUAAAAGGAGCAAGAAAAAAAAAUAAAGAUAAAAAAUUUAAAAAAAAGAAGGAUAAAGAUAAAAUUGCAUAAUUAACUGCAAAAAAAAUUAUAAGUUGCACUAUUUAAGAUGUAAACUGCAGCUUUAAAAUGAAAAUUACACUCUUUGGGAGAUAUUUACACUGUUUCUUCUCUUAUUGUACUUUUUCAGAUGUAAACUGCACCACUAAGAUGAAAACUACACUCUUUAAACAAAAGUUGCACUGUUUUUCCCCUUGUUGCACCAUUUUUUCUCUUAUUACACUAUUUUUUAUCUUAAACUGCACCCAUUUAAAAGAUAUUUAUACUGUUUCUCCUCUUGUUGCACUGUUUUUAUCUUAAACUGCACUCUUUAAGAGAAGAAAUACUGCAACAAGAGGAGAAACAGUAUAAAUAUCUCUUAAAUGGGUGCAGUUUAAGAUAAAAAAUAGUGUAACAAGAAAAGAAAUAGUGCAACAAGAGGAGAAACAGUGCAACUUUCGUUUAAAAAGUGCAACUUUUAUCUUAAUGGAUGCAGUUUAAAUCUAAAAGAGUGCAAUAAGAGGAGAAACAGUGUAAAUAUCUCCCAAAGAGUGUAAUUUUCAUUUAAAGAGUGUAAUUUUCAUCUUAAAGCUGCAGUUUACAUUUAAAUAAUGCAACUUAUAAUUUUUUUUGCAGUUAACGAUACAACUUCAUCUUCAUCCUUCUUUUUCUAUACUUUUUUAUCUUUAUUUUUUUUCUUGCUUCUUUUAUAAUUUUUUUGGUUACCCCUCUCUGCCAACGACCACGGCGCCGGCGACGAUGCCGCUGAGGACCCCCUGUUCCCAGGCUGCAGCGCCGCAGUGACCUUCACGGUGUCGGCGCCGGUGUCUGCACCGGCGAAGAUGCAUCGUCGUUGGAGACGGCAGAGGAGAAGGGAGAAGGAGAGGACGAGAAGGGCGGAGGAGGACAAGAGAGGCAUUGUCGUCGGAGACAGUGAAAGAGAGUCGAAGUGGAAAAAAAAAAAAGUCACGGCGCGGCCUCAACCAGGUCGGAGGCGAGGAAGGUGGGGGUGUGCAGGCGAGGGUAAGGAUGCGUCGGCAUAUUGUCGGCGCCGGCGAAGAUGCGUCGUCGUCAGAGGCGGUAGAGGAGGAAGGAGAGGGAGAGGACGAGAAGGGCGGGGAAGGCGGGAGAGGCGUCGUCGUCGGAAAAGGUGGAGGAGAGUCGGAGAGGGAAAAAAAAAAAGUCGCGGUGCGGCCUCGGCAGGGUCGGAGGCGAGAAAGGUGCGGGAGUGUGCGGGCGAGAGUAAGGAUGCGCAGAACAAGCAGCCUUCGCCGCUCUUUGGGAAAAGAAAGAAAAAAGGAACGAGAGAAAAAAAAGAGGAGAGAAAAAAAGGUAUAAGGAUAUUUUGGAGAGAGAAAAAAGUAUAAUGGUAUUUUGGUCAGUUUGCUAAAAAAGCGGAUCGAAUCUGUAAAAAUGAAAAAGGUGGCCCGAUUUUACAAAAGCCGAAAAUAAGUAGAUUUUUUAUGCAAAUUGGCCAAUUNUUUUUUUUUCCUCUCCGACUCUCCUCCACUGUUUCCGACGACGACGUCUCUCUCGCCUUCCCCGCCUUUCUCGUCCUCUCCCUCUCCUUCCUCCUCUGCCGCCUCCGACGACGACGUAUCUUCGCUGGCACCGACAACGUGCCGACGCAUCCUUAACCUCGCCUGUACACCCCCGCACCUUCCUCGCCUCCGACCCCCUGCCGAGGCUGGGCCGCGACUCUUUCUUUUUUUUUUUUCCACUCUUUUUUUUUUUCCUUUUCGGCUCUCCUCCACUGUCUCCGACGACGACGCCUCUCUUACCCUUCUCCGCCAUUCUCAUCCUCUUCCUCUGCCGCCUUCGACGACGAUGCAUUUUCGCCGGCGCCAACGCCGGCGCUAACACCGUGAAGAUCACUGCGGCGCUGCAGCAUCGGAGCGGGGGGUCCUUAGCGGCAUCGUCGCCGGCGCCGUGGAGAGAGGUGAUGAAAAAAAUUAUAAAAGAAGCAAGAAAAAAAAAUAAAGAUAAAAAAUUAUAGAAAAAGAAGGAUGAAGAUGAAACUGUAUCAUUAACUGGAAAAAAAAUUAUAAUUUGCACUACUUAAGAUGUAAACUGCAGCUUUAAAAUGAAAAUUACACUCUUUGGGAGAUAUUUAUAUUGUUUCUCCUCUUAUUGCACUCUUUCAGAUGUAAACUGCAUCCAUUAAGAUGAAAGUUACACUCUUUAAGUUAUACUGUUUCUCCUCUUGUUGCACCAUUUCUCCUCUUGUUAUACUAUUUUUUUAUCUUAAACUGCACCCAUUUAAGAGAUAUUUAUACUGUUUCUCUUCUUCUUGCACUGUUUUUCCUCUUAGUGCACUAUUUCUUAUCCUGUUACACUGUUUCUCCUCUUAAAGUGUGCAGUUUAAGAAAAAAAUAGUGUAACAGGAGGAGAAAUAGUACAAUAAGAGGAAAAACAGUGCAACAAGAGGAGAAACAGUAUAAAUAUCUCUUAAAGGGGUGCAGUUUAAGAUAAAAAAUAAUAUAACAAGAGGAGAAAUAGUGCAACAAGAGAAGAAACAGUGCAACUUUCGUUUAAAGAGUGUAACUUUCAUUUUAAUGAUGCAGUUUAAAUCUGAAAGAUUGCAAUAAGAGGAGAAACAGUAUAAAUAUCUCCCAAAGAGUGUAAUUUUCGUUUAAAAAGUAUAAUUUUCAUCUUAUAGCUGCAAUUUAUAUUUUAAGUAAUGCAACUUAUAAUUUUUUUUUCAGUUAACGAUGCAAUUUCAUCUUCAUCAUUCUUUUCUAUAAUUUUUUAUCUUUAUUUUUUUUUCUUGCUUCUUUUGUAAUUUUUUUGGUCACCCCUCUCUGCCAACUGCCACGGCGCCGGCGACGAUGCUGCUGAGGACCCCCCGUUCCGAGGCUGCAACACCGCAGUGACCUUCACGGUGUCGGCGCCGGCGAAGAUGCAUCGUCGUUGGAAGCAGCAGAGGAGAAGGGAGAGGGAGAGGACGAGAAGGGCGGAGGAGGGCAAGAGAGGCGUCGUCGUCGGAGACAGUGGAGGAGAGUCGAAGAGGAAAAAAAAAAAAAUAGUCGCAGCGCGGCCUCGGCGAGGUCGGAGACGAGGAAGGUGGGGGUGUGUAGGCGAGGGUAAAGAUGCAUCGGCAUAUUGUCGGCGCCGGCAAAGAUGCGUCGUCGUUGGGGGCGGUAAAGAAGGAAGGAGAGGGAGAGGACGAGAAGGGCGAGGAAGGCGAGAGAGGCGUCGUCGUCGGAAAUGGUGGAGGAGGGUCGGAAAGGGAAAAAAAAAAAGUCGCGGCGCGGGCGAGGGCGAGGGCGCGAGGGUAAGGAUGCGCAGGACAAGCCGCCUCCGCCGCUCUCUGGGAAGAGAAAGAAAAAAAGAACGAGAGAAAAAAAAGAUGAGAGAGAAAAAGAUAUAAGGAUAUUUUGAAGAGAGAAAAAGGUAUAAGGAUAUUUUGAUUAGUUUGCUAAAAAAGCGGACCGAAUCUGCAAAAAUAAAAAAGGUGGCCCGAUUUUGCAAAAGCCCAAAAUAAGUGAUUUUUUUAUGCAAAUUGGUCAAUUUUAAAUUUAAAAAUUUUAAAAUAUUAAAUUUAAAAUUUAAAAUUAUAAAUUAUAAAUUUUAAUUUUAACUUUUUUAAAUUUUAAAUUUUAAAAAUAAAAUCACACUUCUAUUGGCAACGGUUCCUACUUGUUAAGGUGAGAACAAAACUUUCCACCCACGGCAAAUCUUGUUUGAAUAUAAAAGGGAGAUAACCCCGUAUUCCCUCUUUUGUUUCUGUACUAAAUAAAUGGUGGCCUAGAAACUAACCCAAAAAAAAAAAAUUUAUAUAUUUAUGUAACUUUUUAUUUUGAAUAAUAUCUUGUAAAAUUUUGUUUUUUUUUUUAAGAAAUAGGUAGCAGAUUAUUCACUUCGUUUAUUUUAUAUAUUUAACUGAAAAUGUGAAUCAAUUAGGAUUCGAACUUGGAUCUCGGGUACGAACCACCAAGCCCUCUGCCACUUGCUUUAGGAACAGUAAAAUUUUAUUGUUAUUAAUGAAUUAUUUUGUUAUAUCCGUUGAAUCAUGGCAGAUUAAACUAAUAUUAAAUUUCAACCAUAAAAUCUAAACAAUAAAAUAAAAUACUUUUUUACUUAUUAAUCUAUUUUUCUAACCUAUCACCUCCCACUGUAAUCUUUACUAAUCCCUUUGGAACCACCUUCCCCACCCUACCUCAGUUUUAGCCUUUGUUUGAAACAAAAAAAAGAAGAACCCGCCUCUUUCGCUCACCCUGUGCCGUUUUUUAUUUGCAAUUUAGGAUUUUCUUUGCUGGCGAUGGUUUAGUAGGAUUGGUUUACGGUUACGGAAAAGACCAUCUCUAUUAUGGAGUACCUUAAUUUUAAUUCUCACUUUCCAUUAGAGAAAUGUAAAAUAUUAUCCGCAUUUUUCUUUUAUUUCCACUCAAUAAUUAAGAUAAUACGUUAGUAAUUACUAACUUAUCAAUUAUACUAUAUAUGUCGCGGUGCUAAAUGAUAAGGGCCAAACAUUAUUUGAUCGAUAUUCAACAUAAUUGUACUAAAGUUUCAACAUUAAAACUUAUAAAUUAUUUUGAAUAAUUAAACAAAAUCUACAUUAUAUAUAAAAAUAAUUUAAGUAUAUAUAUUAUUUAGGAUUAAUUUUAUACAGAGCCUUAUAAAUAUGGUAAAUGACAAAUAUAUUCCUAAAAAGUUUAAUUUUCAUAUGUCGUUCUUACAAAAGUUCUAAUAUUUUCAAAUAUAUAGAUUGGUUUGUUACUAUUAGAGAACCGUUUACAUUUUCAAUUUUGUCAUCACAAAUAUAUCCCUCCAAAAGCCAUAAUAUACUAACAGUAUAAUAUAAAAGCGGUAAAAAUGUUAAAAACUAAUCAAAGUUAAGUAUUUAAUCUAUGAUUAACUAAAUUUUUUUAACAAAUUCUAACGACGGUAGUAUAUUUGAAAAUAUCAGGACUUUUGUGAGAACAACAUAUAAAAUUUAAAUUUUAUAGAAAUAUACUUGUCAUUCACUAUAUUUAGUGUAUGAAAUUAUUACGUAUUUAAUCUAUGAUUAAUUAAAUUUUUCUAACAAAUUCUAACGGCGGUAAUAUAUUUGAAAAUAUCAGGACUUUUGUGAGAACAACAUAUAAAAUUUAAAUUUUAUAAAAAUAUACUUGUCAUUCACUAUAUUUAGUGUAUGAAAUUAAUCCUCUCAAGUUCUAAAAAAAAUAUAAAUAAUUUAUUUCCAUCUCCAUCCCAUUAUGUACGGAUCUAUGCAGGUCCCGAAUUUAAAUGGAUUUUUCUCCUUAGAAUUGAAUUUGCAAAAAUUACACUUUUGGUCCUCAAACUAUGAGGCGUAUAACACUUAAGACACCAAGCUUUAAUUUAUUAUAAUUUUUUGUUUAAAUUUUUUAAAUUAUUAUAAUUAAGACCCGCAAUUCAAUAAUAAUAUUGUAAUUGAUGUAGUAAUGAUUAAGAUUUUGCAUCAAUUCCAUAUGAUCAAUACAUUAAUAUUAACUCAACUAAAGCGGAUUAUCGAACUUGAUUGUAAUAAUUUCAAAAAAUUGAGCCAAAAAUUACUGUAAAUUAAAAUUUAAAAAUCAAAAUAUCGCAAAUCUCAUAGUCUACCCAAUUUAAUUUAUUACUCAAGUCAAUAACUAGGCACUGUUGAAAUAGGAUGAACCAAAAUUAAUUAUGAAAAAGUUACAAAGUUCAUUUGAAAUGUCAACUAACCAAUGUAACAUACAUGAACAUUCACAUGCACUGUAAAAGAGAAACAUUUAUUAUCCCCUAUCUAGUAAAAGAGAUGCACAUUCGAAAUGUCAACUAACCAACGUAACAUACGUGAACAUUCACAUGCAUUGUAAAAGAGAAACAUUUAUUAUCCUCUAUCUAGUAUAUAUAAAUAUAAGGGCAUUUAGACCUCUUUAUUUUUCUCUGCCUAGAAUGGUCAAUGCCUAACUUUCUCGGAUUAGGUAUAGAAAACACGCAGGGUACAACUAUUAUAAUGCAAAACUCUAACAAAUCAAAAUUAGAUAGGAAAAUCUUGUUUAUUGUACUUAAUGUAAAAAAUUGUUGAAUAUAAUAUACUAAAUAUAAAUCUCCACUAACUUAAGCUUUCCAAAAAAAAUUAUUUUACAUUAUUUAACUUGGUGUCAAAAUAAAAGGUAUAUAUGAGUUAUAACAUACCCGUUUAACUUUAAUUUUUUUAAAAAAAUAAUUAUUUUAUAUUGUUUAACUUAGUAUCAGAAUAAAAAAUUAUAAUUAUGACAUAUUAAAAUUUAAAAUAUUAUUCUCCAUCACCUUAAGCUUCUUGAAAAACAUUAUUAUUUUACAUUAUGUAAUUAACUAAUAUUGUUCUAAAAUGUUUUUGAUCCCGGUUAGGAAAGUCCUUUGCACUAAAUGUUGUAUAAGAGAAUAAAUAAUGAAUAUAAGUUAUGGGGCAUCUAAACAAUCAUGAAAUUAAUUUAUUGUGUACUACUAGUGCGGCGGAUAGCAAUUAUUGCAAUUUGUGACAACAAAAUGUAAUUGCAAUCACCUGCGUAAUCUCUAUGAUGCAACAAUAAAAUUGCAUAUAAUAAUACAAGUUGUUGAUAACCUCUUUUAAUGGUGAGUUCCUCUUAAUCUAAUUAAUGGCAAUGUGACAAUGGUAUAUAGUUACCUUGCACGCAAAGGAAGACCAUUUCACUUAAAUAUGAAUACCUUGGUUACUUGCUAGUGAGGGCUCCAAAUAAUUAUAUAUAUAUAUAUAUGUGGAGAAAAAAAAUAAUGGAAAACUUGCUAAUAUUUUUUUAUUGAUCUCAUUCACGAGUGAAAACAGACAAACACUCCUACAAGUUCAAAUUGUGACCUGAGUGGUUACCAGUGCGGUAAGCCUAUCUGAUACGAAGCUUUAUUUCCAAAUACAAUUGUUUCAAACUUUCUCCAACUACGUACUACAUCUAUAACAGCAUUGCUAUCAAACAGUUCCUGUAUAGGUUUAACUACAUAAAAUAAAAUUACACGAAAUGAAAAAACUGAAGAUGGAAUUCUCGAAAUAUUGAAACGUUUUUCACUAGUAGUUGACCCGAGAAGUUGCGGACUCCCCCAGCCGCCACCGUUAUCUGGGCCCAGACACCUGCUGCGACGACAUGUGCGAUGGCGACUCGCUCGUCGUCGUCGCAGUGCUCGUCAUCGAUCCAGUAGGAUUACCGGCACCGCCGCGGCCGCCGAACAAAUCGUUCGCCGCUCUGAUCGCGGAGGCACUGCCGGCGAAUCCCCUCCCGUAGAGCCGCAGAAAGUUGAGCGACGCCACCCGAGGCUCAGCCGCGCCCAUCGUCCCGUCCAGCAUCCCCGCCACCGCCGACAUGCUCGGCCGCAGCGCGGGCUCCUCGUGUAGGCAGCAGAGCGCCACUUUCACCACCCUCUCCACCUCCUCCUCCCUCACCCUCCCCUCCAGUCUCGGAUCGGCCAACUCUCUGUACCGCCUUUCGGCGUGGCGCUCCAGCGCCAGCAUCGGAAAAUAUUCCCCGCCGCCGCCGCUGCCGCUCCAUGAGCCACUCGAUGAAUCAUUCGAAUCGCCGUCGGUCACGCAGUCGGUGCGGUUCUUCCUCCCCCUGACCAGCUCCAGCAGCACCAUCCCGAAGCUGUAGACGUCGGUGCGAUCCGAUAUCGCCGCAUUGGUGAGCCACUCCGGCGCCAGGUACCCGCGCGUCCCCCGCAUCGUCGUGAAGAGCCCCGACUGGUCCGGGCCCAUCAGUUUCGCGAGGCCGAAGUCGGCGAUCUUCACCUGGCCGGCGUCGGCCAGCAAUAUGUUCUCCGGCUUGACGUCGCAGUGCACGAUCUUGUGGUCGCAGCCGGAGUGCAGAUACGCGAGCCCUCGUGCCGCGCCGAUGGCGACCUCCAUCCGCUCUCCCCACUCGAGCGCGGGGCCGGCGGAGCCGAAGAGCGAUCGGUCGAGUGAGCCCCGGUUCAUGUACUCGUAGACGAGGAGGCGCCGCGCGCCCUGCGCACAGAAGCCGCGGAGGCGGACCAGGUUCACGUGGCGGAUGUUGCCGAUGACCGCCAUCUCGGUGCAGAAUUCUCUCUUCCUCUGUAGCCCCACGGCGUCGAUCCUCUUCACCGCCACCAGCGUCUUGUCCGGCAGCUCCCCCUUGUACACCGCCCCGAAUCCGCCCGAUCCGAUCUUCGUCUGGAAGUUGUUGGUCACCGCCUCCAGCUCCGCGAAUGUAAACCUCGUCGGCAGGCCCGGUAUGAACACAUCGUCGGACUCAUCGUCGUCGAUAUUGGAGUCCAAGUAGUCCGAAUUCUUCGCCGGCGACUUCUGCCAACGGAGCUGGAACUCCUUUGCUGCCGCCUGCGGUUUGGAUCUCCUCAUCUGCUUCUUCUGCUGACUGCGCCACCAGUGAAUUCCCAUCCAGGCGAUCAUGGCGACGAGGAGGAGCGAGGCGAUGGACGGAAGCAAAAUUGCCACAAAAUGGGUCGACGACGGUGGUGAAGAAUUCCUACCAUUGGCAUUUGAUGGCGAUCCCUGCACCGUCUUGAUGUAGCCCGCGGGGUUCGAUCCAUCGCUGGAGCUGCUGACAAACAGAGAACCCAGUUGCCGCGACUCUAACAAGUAGCAGGACAUCGACGAGUUAUCAUAGAAGUAGCCUAAACAAGUACAAUUCCCCGAGCAGCGGCUGCGGCAAGCCGGACCGUCCCCGCCCGACGUCGUCGGCGCCGCGUACUUAUUCGCGAAGUAUUCGAUUCCGGCUCUGAGGCCGAGAUAGGAGAGGUUGGAAUCAUCGGUAGUGCAAUUGGAGGAGGAGAGGAGGCGGGGGCCAUUGGCGGCGAGUUCGCAGCCGCCGCUGUGGGACGCAACGAAGAGCGGUGGGCACGCGCACGUGGAGGCGUUGCUGCUCCCGGAGCAGAGCCCAAGGGGGCCGCAGGCCAGCGGGAGGUCGCAGGGGCCGCUCGGCGCGACGAAGUCGCCGCCGAGCGCGGCGGACGCGUUGAGCGCGGCGUAGCUGGAGAUGCGGAGGGCGCCGUCGCGGCCGAGCCUGAGGAUCCGGAGCGGGGCGGGGGGGAGCGGGAGCUCGAACACGACGCGCGCGUCCGCGGCGUAGAGGUAGAGGCCCGAGGCGUUGGCGGCCAUGUAGGCGACGGGGGCGUUGCGGUCCUUGGCGGAGCGCACGUCGCCGGCGAGGCUCCAGAACUGGGCCCAGCCGCUGCCGCCGCCGCCGCCCCAGGCGAGCGCGGCGUCCGCGGGGGUCACGGCGAGGCGGUAGUCGCCCUCGGCGAAGUCGGUGUCAGAGGCGGAGGCGGUGAGGUUGGCGCCGGCGCGGAGGGGCUGGUCGGAGACGAGGGCGUCGGCGGGGUGGUCGAAGGAGCGCCAGAGCGAGGCGUUGCGCGCGUCGAGGAGGGCGAGGUCGCCGGAGUCGAGAAGGCGGAGCGCGGCGGCGGGGGCGGCGAGGGGCGGCGUGGACCAGAGGAGGGAACCGCUGGGGCUGGUCACGGCGAGGCCGAGCGGGGUGAGGGCGACGAGCCCCGAGCGGUCCGGGAUGGGCGCGGCGCGGUUCGCGGCCCACACCGCGGCGCCGGACGUGGCGUGGAGCACGGAGAAGUAGAACCGCGACUGCUGCGCCCCCGGGUUGUAGACCGCUGCUUGGAAAACGCCGUUCCGGGACGCGAGGAAGACGCCGCCCGUGUCGAUGAAGAGGAGGCUCGACGCCGUGAAGUUGGGGUACAGGUACUCCACCGCAACGGCCCCCGCUGCGGCGAGACGCGCGUUGAGGAGGAGCUGGUGGAAAACAGAGAGAAAGAGGAGGGGAUAGGCGAAGCGACGCAUUGGAGAAGAGAAUGAGAGCCCAUGGACCGGAGCAGAGAGGGAGGGGGGGAGGAGGAGGAGAUGAUGAUGAUGAUGACGAUGAUGAGGUUGACGGGUGUGUCCGUUGACUUGUGGUGCUGGGACCCACACACGCAAGGGAUUNCGGCGUGGACCAGAGGAGGGAACCGCUGGGGCUGGUCACGGCGAGGCCGAGCGGGGUGAGGGCGACGAGCCCCGAGCGGUCCGGGAUGGGCGCGGCGCGGUUCGCGGCCCACACCGCGGCGCCGGACGCGGCGUGGAGCACGGAGAAGUAGAACCGCGACUGCUGCGCCCCCGGGUUGUAGACCGCUGCUUGGAAAACGCCGUUCCGGGACGCGAGGAAGACGCCGCCCGUGUCGAUGAAGAGGAGGCUCGACGCCGUGAAGUUGGGGUACAGGUACUCCACCGCCACCGCCCCCGCCGCGGCGAGACGCGCGUUGAGGAGGAGCUGGUGGAAAACAGAGAGAAAGAGGAGGGGAUAGGCGAAGCGACGCAUUGGAGAAGAGAAUGAGAGCCCAUGGACCGGAGCAGAGAGGGAGGGGGGGGAGGAGGAGGAGGAGAUGAUGAUGAUGAUGAUGAUGAUGAUGAUGAUGAUAUGAGGUUGACGGGUGUGUGCGUUGACUUGCUGGUGCUGGGACCCACACACGCAAGGGAUUUAAUUUAAUUUAAUUUAUGGUUGGAUUUUUGGACGGUCGAUAUUUGACCGGGCGAAUCACUUGUCGUUGCGUGCUGCAGGUUUCACAAGAAAGGUGUAAACAGGCUUUAUUCCUUCACAUUAACGUACAUUUGACCAUAGCAUACAGAAAUAUAAACGUUUUUUGUGAGACAAAAAAAUUAUAUAUAUAUAUAUCCAAUUGUUGUCACAUCAUAAGAUUUACAAACCAUACUAAUAGAAUUUACCUUCGCAAAAUGUUAAUGUUAGUUGUGUCUCCAUUGUUUCCAUUCAAGUUUCAGUGCUCUAAUUUGCAUUAAAAUUUAUAGUUCAUCUCUUUUAGGCUUUCCAAUAGCUCGUUAUUUAUUUGACAGGAAUUAAAUUUCGAUUCUCACUCCACUCCAAAAUAAAAAUGGUGCAAUCUAAAUAUAACCUAAUCUAAAAUAAAAAUGGUUCAAUCUAUAUAUAAUCUGAUAGGACUCUCUAGAUUAUUCUAUUCUAAAGUAAAUAGCUUAAAAACUUAACUAAAACCUCUCCUCCGAAUCCUAAAUAUCUUAAUUAUUUAUUUUAAUUUUUACGUAAAUACUGAACUAAAUAUUCUUACAUAGCACGUUCCAUUCUCAUUUCACUCCUAAGCUAAACGUGUUCCUUGAUUUAGGCAUGAGCCGUAACCGACGACAUACGAGCGUCAUAAAACUUUUAAAAUAAAAAAUUGGGGAGAGGUGGGGCAUGUACAAUUUGAUGAUCCAAGCAACCGCACAUUUAUUAAUCAUCUAUCACUCCUCUACGCAACUGUUACUGUUUUGCAUAAUUUGGUGGGAUAAUUGAAUUAAAAAUGGCAAGUAGGAUACACUGGAUUCGGAACAUUUUUAUUUAUUUAUUUAUUUUAAGAAAUAGGUAACAUGCUUUCGAUUUUGUUUAUUUUAUUUAAAAAUAAAUUUAGCUAGAAAUAUGAAUGAACUAGAAUUCUAAUUUAGAAUCUCGAAUACCAAUCAUCAAAUUUUCUAUCAUUUGCGAUAAGGACGGUCGAUACAUUUUUCAUUUAUUAUCCGCAAGAAAGUCAAGAACAACAACUGUUUGUUUUCCCGCCGAAUUUGUAGUAAACGCGGAAAAAUCAUUAUCACAAGAGGCAUGCAUAAUCACACGCCAAACGACCGAGCCCUUUGCUCUGCUUUGUUAUUACAAACAAAAUUAUGUAUUAUAUAUAUAUAUACUAGUUGAGUAUACGUGCAACUGACAUGUAAACAAUUAUUUUAAUUUAUUUUAAAAUCAAUAAAUAUUGUAAAUCAUAUUUAUUCAAAAUUUAGAAUAUAAAUAUUUUCUAAACUUAUAUGUUAUAUUUUAUUAAAAAAUACUACAAUAUUAAAUUUAAAUUUAAUAUAAAAUAGAUGAUUGAUAGAAUUGAUAUCAAAAAUUAAAUUUAAUUCACAAUUUAAACUCAAAUUUAAAUUUUAAUGUAAAUAAAUGAUAGAAGUGCUUAUGUUUUAACAGUAUGAACAUAAUAGUUCAUUUUUAUUUCAAUAUUUUUAACCAAUUGAUUUAACCGUUCGUAAAUUAGAAGUUAUAAAUAUGUAUAAAUAUUUUUUUUAAUAAAUGAUCAUAAUCAUUCAUUCUUAUUUGAGAUAAAUUUUUUACAAUUGAUCAUAAAUUUGUAUAUCAUAUAUUUAAUCAAUAUGAUUUACAAUAUUUAUCAACCAAUCUAUCUUUUAAAUAUUUUCUUAUUAUAAUAUAUAGAUAGUAAUUAUUUAAUAUUAAUAAAUGGAUAGAAGUGCUAUUUUUUAACAGAUUAAAUAUAAUAGUUCAUUUUAUUUUCAAUUUUUUAACCAUUGAUUAUAACCGUUCAUAAAAUUGAAAUUAUAGAUAUUAUGAAGUUUUUUUUUUUAACAAAUUGAUCAUAAUCAUUCAUUCUUAUUUGAGAUAAUUUUCUAUAUCAUAAAUUUGUAUAUCAUAUUAAUUCAAAAUUAUGAUUUACAAAUUUAUCAACCAAUCAUCUUUUUAAAUUAUUUUCAUUGUAAUAUAUAUAAGUAAAUAAUUUAAAUUUGAAUUGAAUAAUAAUUUACAGUAGAUAUUCUCGCAAAAAUUUGAAUAAGUAAUGAACUUUUUUCUAUUUUAGAGUAAAAAAAUUAAAUAAAAUUUAAUUAAAAUAUAGAUUCAUAGUAAAUAUCUUUCGUUGGCAAAAAAUUUGGAUAAGUGUAUCUUUUUUAUUUUAGGAUAAACAAAAAUUAAAGUUUGUUUAAUUCUAUUAUUUAUUUUACGUAAGGAAAGAGAUUUAAUUUUUUUUUCCUGCCGAAAAUGAUGCUUGUCGACAGACCCAAAUUUGAAUAUACGUGUUUUUAUAUAUAUAUUAUAUAUUAUAUAUAUAUUAUAUAUAUAUCAUAUUAUAUAUAUAUAUAUAAUAUAUAUAUUAUAUAGUAUACAGUUAGCGUACGUGCAAAUGCACGUAACCAUUAUUUUAAUUUAUUUUAAAUCAAUAAAAAUUUGUAAUAUAUUUAUUCAAAAAUAGAAUAAGAUAUUUUAUAAAUUAUAUGUUUAUAUUUAUUAAAAAAAUUCAUAAUAUCAAUUUUAAAUUUUAAUAUAAAAUAGAUUGAUAUAUUUGAUAUCCAAAACUUAAAAUUUAAAUUAAAUUACGAUUUCUUUAAAUCAAAUUUAAUUAUUAAUUAAAAUAGAUGGAUAGAGCAAUAUGAUUUCUCGGCAAGAAUUGGGAUAAAUAUAUUUUUUUAUUUUUGAGUAAAGAUAUGAUAUUAAAGUUGAGUUUUAUUAUUUAUUUAUUUUACGAUAAAGAAAGAGAAGAUCACAAAUUUUCCACUAAAAAUGGUUUUUGACGUAUCGAAUUUGAAAUACGUCCAAGAUUAUAUUGAUUAUUAUAUUAUAGUUAGAGAUAAAAUGAAUUAAAUAAAAAUUCACAGUAGAUAUUCUCAGAUUGGUAAAAAUUUGGAUAAGUAUAAAUUUUUUUCUGUUGUAGAAAUAAAGAGGAAAUAAAAGUUUUUUAAUUCUAUUAUUUAUUUUACGUAAGGAAAGGAAAGAGGAAUUAAUUUUUUUUCUCCCAAAAAAUGGGUCUGUCGACAGACCGAAAUUUGAAAUACGUGCUUUUAUAUAUAGUAUAGAUAUAUAUAUAAUUAAAAAUUAUUUUAUUUAGUUUUAUAAAUAAUACAAUCUUUUAUGCAUACUAAAAAAUUGAUUACAAUAUAGUUUAUGAAUGCCGCCAAAAAUGUGCUGUCAUCUCAAUUUAUUUUAUUUAUUUUUCUCCCAAUAAUAUUAGCCAAACAACGCUUUAGAUAGGCGCCGCUUAAAUCAUACAUGGAGUUAAAAAUAUAUUAAUUAUAAUUAUAUUGUGUGUCGUUUAAUUGAAUGUAGUACAAAAUUAUUGUAACUAUAAAUAAUUUAUUUAGUUAUAUACAGUUGAGAAUUAUAUGUUUAAAAUUUUAUCACUUUUUAUAUGUGAUGGUGAGAUAGAAAAAUAUUUUCUAUUUAAAAGGUAAUUAGAAGGACAAGCAAUUUUUUUUGUUUAAAAUCAGUCCACAAUUGUUGUAGUUAGAACGACAAUCAAUUUGAACGUACUUCCAACUGUUACAGUUGGAUCUCCUAAUAUUAUUCUAACGACAGUAAUUGAAUUCAAAUAUAUCAAAUCAAGUACUGAAUUUGAAUUUUUAUUUAAUUAUAAUUACAAUACAGUUAUAAUUACAAGCAACCAAAUAGGCUCUAAAUGUUUUUGUAUCAUUGUAGUCAGUUAACUUUAAGACUUUAUAAAAAAAAAACUAUUCAACAUAAAUGUCACUUUUGAAAACAAGAGUAAUAUUAAAAGAAGUAAAAUAUUUAUUUAAAACUAAUAUGAAAUUCGAUAUAUGAUGAAUGCCUAAUUAACUUGGAUAUCUCCUGUGUCAAUUGCAAUUAAUAUACUCUUAAUAUCACUAGUGCUGACUCCGUCUUUAUGAGCACAUCAUUUUUCAAGUGCCAAUCCAAACCACUCCCCCUCUAUAAUUCAAUUAUUCCAUUGUAUCAUAAGAGUAUUUGCCGAUUAACAAGGUAAUUAACAAAGGUUCGAGAUAACCCAUAAUUAUUUUGGGAUUGAUUUGUUCAAAAAUCACAAAAAUUUCACUUACUGAUAAAACAUGGAAAAUGCUCCAUAUAUCCUCAAUCAUAUCAAUCAUAACACAAUAAAGAUAACAAAAUAAAAAAGCAGGCAUCUACGACAUAUUUUUUUAAAAAAAAAAUGUAUAGUUGAGAAUUUGACCUACUAUAUCCAAACUCCAUAGUCCUCUUAGCUGUUACUCGAUUCUCAAUCUCAUCUCAUACUUUCAAUCAGGUCUCAGUGGUUUAUUCACUAUUGAAUGAUUUUCUGACAAUAUACGACUAGGGCUGUAAACGAGCCGAACUCGAGCGAGCUGGAGCCAGCUCGAGAUCGGCUCGUCGUCUUCUAGGCCGGCUCGUGUUCGGCUCGAGCUCGUGACGAGCUCGAAAAUUUUGGCUCGUGAUCGGCUCGAAACUUAAUCGAGCCGGCUCGUGUUCGGCUCGUUAGCUCAAUUAUAUAAUGCUACCGAAGUUCGCUGCCGCCAAAGUUCACUGCUUCUGCCGCCGAAGUUCGCUGCCGCCAAAGUGUCGCCGUCGAAGUGUAACAACCCUGAAGAAUAAAUGGUAGAAGUAGUAGUUAACAGAGGAAGUUAGCAAAAAAAAUAGCAACUUUACUAGUUAAAAUGGAGAAUAAAAAUGGCAGCAGCUCGACGGGAAUGAAGGAGGGAGGAUCGUGGCGUGGCAGUCGAGCCGUCGGGAUGUCGCCUCCAAAGGCGGCGACGGGUGCUAGAGGAGGACCUAAGGUCAUUAGGCAAUCCUGGAAGCAAGAAAGAGUCUGAGCAAGAGGAGAUCCAGACAGAAUCUUGUGCUUGGGCGGGGGCGAAGAGUAGUAAGUAGCUCAGCCCGUGGCGGAGGCGGGUACGUGAUGCGCGAAUCAUCUGGAGCGGUGAGAAACACGAGCCACUACCCUACCUGUGGGGAUCGUCGCGGAUAGGCACCGUUACCCGUUAACGAUAGCGGAUUACUUAAGGGAGACAAGACCUAGCCAAGCCCCAGCGUGCCCAGCUGCAUCAGGUGCAGCCUAUACGGUAGUUUUUUCCUCAACUCGCAUUGGCUUUGUAAUAACCCUCAUAGAUUGAUUGUUACAUACUUCAGUGUAAAAUCACCAAAUAGUAUAAAUACCAAGAUAAUAAUGAAAUAGAAUAAUCAAUUGAAAUGAAAUAUAUAUAUAUAGUAAUAAUAUUACUAUAAUUUAUAAUACACAUAUAAUAUAUAUUAUAAUAUAUAUAACAAUUAUAUUAAUAAUAAAAUAAAUAUAAUCGAUUGUUAGCGGAGCGAACACGAAUGAAGCUGAUCCGUAGUCGUGUUCGGCUCGUUUAUAAACGAGCUGAAAAAUCCAGCUGUGUGGCGGCGUUUACUAAACGAGCGAGCGAUCUCGAGCUAUUUCGAGCGAACACGAGCUGUGCCGGAAACAGCGGAGCUGGAUUGCCACCCCUAUGUACGACCAAUUGAGUCAAAGAGGUUGAAUCGGGCUUGGGCCUUUUUCAACCGAAAAAUUAAAUUCAGGCUCAAGUCUAACUUAGCCUAAUUUGGUAAUGUGCAGUUAAACUCCUAGAGAGAACUUAAAAAGAGCCUGGAAAUGGGCUGGCCCAGAUUUUGUACGCUUGGCCCAUUACAAGAAUCUGCGUAAAGAUUGCUGGGCCAAGAACCCAAAAAGCCCAUUGAAAACCACCAAAAAGCUUUCCUUUCAUAUGAAGUCGGCUUCAUUACGCUACAUGACACUUUACAGGUGUUUCACUUCCUAUGUUGCACUAUUUUUUUUUUUUUUCAAAGUUACUACUCAACUAUUCUUUUUUUUCAAUCCCUAUAUUAUUAGCAAUAAACCUAUAAUUUUAUAUAUAUGCUGUUAAAAACUACUAGUUAAAAAUCGCAGAAAAUAUAUUCAACCAAUUAUUAGAUGUGAAAAUAGUAAAGUAUAUAAAAAUAACAAAACAAUAAAUGAAAAUAACUUGAUAGAAACUUUCAAUAAGUCUAUCAUAAAGAUUCAUUUUAUAUUUUUAACUAGUAACUAGUGUCUCUUUAUAAAAUAGUUAUAUUUUAUCUGAAUUAAUAGAUUUAUUAACAAUAAUGUAGAGAUUGACGAGAAAAAAAAAUUACCGAUAUUUAUGAGAAUAGAAAAUAGUACAAAUUAAAAAAAAAUAAAUAGAUCUAAAUCACGGUGUACGUAUUGAUAAAAUAUAAUAAUAUAAUGAUGUAUUUGAAAAAAUUUAAAAAAAGUAUAAUGUAGCAAAUGAACAUAGCACUAAAGUAUAGUAAAAGAUAAUUAAGAUUUUGAAGUAAUAUAAAUGAGAUACAUCAGCAUGAUUACACUAGUUAGGGGCCAAGUUUAACAAAGCAAUACUCCAUGCACACCUGUAGUCGACUAAUAAAUAUAAAUUUUACACUCUAUUUAUCUAAAGGCUGCUAUUUUUCAGUAAUCUCGUAAUCUCUUUUUGCACUACAGAUUUAAAAAAAAUUUGUAAAGUUUAGAACGAGUGAAGUGCAAGAUUUACAUUUAAAGUAAAAUCGACUUACUAUUUUUUUAAUUUACCAUUAGCUUUGGGUUUGAGCAUUGAAACCUUAAAAACAAAAAGGAAAAACUCAAGGACACCAUUGCAGCAGCUUUAUACCUAGAGUGGACUACUCAUAGUCAAUCUUUUUUUUUGUCUACUAUUAAUUAUUAACUCAUGAAUCCGAGUGCAAACACAAAAGGAGAAUUUAAGAGUGAUUGGGAUGGGAUUUCGCAAAAGAUAUUGUCCUCUAAAUGCCAAAGUCGCCACCCUAAUUGGGUAGCAGCUUGGGAUACGAGAAAGCGCCGUAGAAAAAGAAAGAAUCCAAUGAACUACGUACUAUCAUCAUACCCUCAAAGAUAAGGAGAUACAGGUAAAAAUUUGUGGGCACUUCACAUAUAUACCAUUUCCAAAUUAAAAAUACUAUCUAUUUAUCCCGUGUAGAGCGCGUACACCUUAUUUUCUUAAAACUCAAAAAAAAAAAAGGAUUAUUAAGACUAGUAGCUGAAUACUAAUGGCAUGAAACUUAGGAUAUAAGAUUUAUAUCUAUGAUAUUGGUGGUUGGUACCUGAGGUCCCAAAUUCGAAUCCUAAUUGAUUCAUAUUUCCAGCUAAGUUUAUUUCUAAAUGAAAUAAACGAAGCGGGUGGCGUGCUACCUAUCUCUCAAAAAAAAAAGAAAAAAAGAAAAAAAAGAAAUAGAACAUUCAACUUUUUUGGAUAAUUAAUAUUGUGCAAUUUUUUUUUUGUUUGAUUAGGAAUGUGUUAAAUUUAACUAUUUUCCUAGCUAUCAAUUGUUGGUAAGUAAUGAAAUUUGUAGGUAUAUAAGCUAGAUUAACCAAAAUUACCAUUAUAUUUGAUCAAGUCAUUAAUUUAUUUCUAAAAUUUAAAUUGAGAAUUUUAAUUGCAUAAAGAAGUAUUUCCACACGGUUUUUAAUAUUUUGUCUUUAUAUGCUUGUUGAUGUAUGGACACUAAUUAUAUGAAGUCCUUUAAGUGGUCCGUGUAUGUAAUCUAGUUUUGUUUUAGAUUUGGAGGAGAGUGCAUUACACACGGUAAUAGUGCUAAAAGGAAUAUAAUUUUUUUGCUUUCGUAAAAGAUAUAACAUUGUAUAAAAAACGACGAUUUGAAUAUGAUACAAUUUAUACGAUUAAAAAAUGUAGAAAUAUAUAUAUCUUUAUGUUUUUUUCUUAAUUCCUUUUGACUCAAUACUGCUUAAUAGACCCUCUAAACUCAAACGCGACCUCAGUAGUUAAUAAUUUAUAAAGACAAUAUUAUAAAUAGCCUACAAUAGUUUUUAAAAUAUACAAAAUUAUAUGUGACUCAAUUUAUUUCAAAAAAAUAAUUUAUAUUUGAGUAAGAAUAUAUAUAUAUAUAUAUAGCAAAGUGGUUGUACAUUUUCACCUUUGACGAUAAGUAGGAAUACAAACGGAAUGGAUAUGCCAACGGAAGAUUCGUUCUGCCACCCAUUUCCUCCCCAAUAUGAAAGUUUGCCUUCCACCGAUGCCUCCCAUCUGCUCAGCCAACUAGAUUUUUUAUUUUUUAUACAAAUUUAAAUUAAUAUAUUAAAUUUUUAUUUUUUAACUAAAAUACUAAUGAAAGUAUUAUAAAAAUAAUUAUAUCUCAAACCACAUUCCAAAAAAAAUUCAAAAUUGUCGUAUAUUUUAAAUAGAUAUAUACUUAUAUUCGAGACUUGUUCAUGGCCGAGAUUCAAGAUGGAACUUAACAGAGCCGGAUUUAACUUGAUUGAAUUUGUUUCCGAUCAUAAAAAAAAAAAAAAAAAAUCCUCUAAUUUCUCAUUGCGAAUUUGUUUAUUAUCGUUUAUAUAUUAUCUUAGUCGGGUGGAUCAUAGAAGAAACUCCGCCAACCCGAAUCCAUUUGCGAAAAUGCACAAUGGCUGCUACUAAUACUAUAUAUAAAAUAAACUACUAAACACCUAAAAAGAGGAAUUCCACUGUAUCAUACUUAUACCACAUUAUCAAUAACAAAUUAAUUACAUCUCUCAUUAUGAUAAAAAAUAUACAACAAAAAUACUUUUUUAUAUAAUUAUGAUAGGAUGGAUAAUCCCAAAAUAAGCUAUUUGAUAGGUUGGAAACGCCGCAUCUCGAAUACGCCGGGUGCAUUCUAGAGUUUUUCGUAAAAAGAAGCCUUUUAAAUGCGGCCAACUUAUCUUAUUCCGUUUACGGACCACGGCCUUGGAAUCACAACCGUUGAUUAUCCUCACCGCCACCGUCCUUUUUUUAAGUUUUACUCCCUCGAAAAAAAGAUGUACUCAAACUCCUUCCUCUGUAGUCCCGGUUGAAAUUGUUCCCUCGACUUUUUAACCAAAAUUAACUAUGUAUUAUAAUAAUUAAUUAUUCUAUCAUCAAUUAACUGUUAGCUAAGAAAUAAUUAAAAUUGUUAAAUAUUUUACAAAUUACUAAAUUGACUAAAUUUUUAAUUCUAAAAAAACAAUAAUUCAGAGAUGUGAAUUUAAUAUUGAGAAGGCUAUUUCAAAAAAAUAAAAAAUCAUUUGAUACGUAUACGAAUAUAUUUAUGGAUUAUUGAUGUACUGUAUAUAUAUAUAUAUAUAUACACACACUUUUAAAUUACAUACAUAAAUUAAUUAAAGUUUGACUGUAUGUCCGUAUACAUUAUGAAAUUCAACAGGCUAAAUUACACUAUUCUUUCCCAAGUUUUAACUGAGUCUUAUUUUGGUUUUAGAACUUUUAGAUUUGACUGUUAAGAUUCUGAAGUUUCAAUACUAAUGUUUCCCUUUGGCCCUCCAACUUAACAGUAUUUUCUUGCAGUUCAUAGCUUAAAACAAAAAUUAUUUCUUGCGACUAACUCAUCUUAUGUUGUUGAUACACCAUAAAUUUCAUCAAUCCAUCACCUAUUUAUAUUUUUUUAAUUAAACUGUACAUUUUUCAAAUUAUAUAUAAAAAAUAUUACUUAAAGGAUUUUGAAAUUAAAAUAUAUGAUGAGACAAAUAAUUGAUAAAUGCAUAGUAUAUAAAUAUAUAAAAUCAAAAAAAAAAAGAGUCUAGAAUUUUAGCAUCAAAGUUUUAAACUGAAAGGACAGAACGGUGUGUGGAAAACUACUGGUGCAAUUUAUUCGAAUUUAACACAGCUAGAGUAUAUAAAUAUCGUAAUGAAGACAAUAUUUCUAUAGAUACUUUAUAAAAUUAACUUUAUGUAUUAUUAAUGUGUUGGCAAAUUUAUGCAUAAUAUCAAAAUAUGUACACAUAUCAAUCACAACCUUCCACGCAUAUAUGUCAACACAUUAAUAAUACAUAAAGUUAAUUUUAUAAAGUAUCUAUAGAAAUAUUGUCUUCNAUUAACUUUAUGUAUUAUUAAUGUGUUGGCAAAUUUAUGCAUAAUAUCAAAAUAUGUACACAUAUCAAUCACAACCUUCCACGCAUAUAUGUCAACAUAACAAUAACAGAACAUUGGAGACUCAUAAUGUGAGACCCUAGAUAGUACUAUAUAUAAGAUAUAAUAUGACUAAAAUUCUUAACUCGAAUAUAAAAUUUGGGUAAUGGCUAGGCUGAAGAGAUUAAAAAAAUUAAGCGUAUUAGGAUUAGAAUAGUCUUAAAAUGGAUGACCUCUUGGGAAGUGGGGCGUCACAAUUGAUAUCAAAGCCAAUUAUCAGUCGGAAGCAUGAGAAGAGUCUCGGUUUAGCCAGGUUAUACACUGAGGAGAGCGAGAGUCUAAUCCUGAUGACUGUUUUGGGUAGAGCGCAACUCCCCCGUAAGGUCGGUUAAAGCUAACGAGACGAGUCUCACAUCGCUUGAUAUUUGUGAGUCUAAGCCUAAUGAAAACAUCAGCACUUAAAGUUAGGGAGAAUGUGAGACCCCAGAUAAUUCUAUACAUAAGAUAUAAUAUAUUUAGAAUUCUUAACCUGAUUAUAGUAUUUUGGGCGAUAGCUAAACCGAGAGAUUAAGAAAAUUAAGUAUAUUAGGGUUAGAGUAAUCUUAAGAUAGGUGACCCCUUGGGAUAUGGGACAUCACACAUAAUGGAGUACCUAAAGGACUAUUUGGUUGAUGAGAAAAGUUAAAAAAAUUAAAAAUUAAAAAAAAUUAAUUUAUUAUUAUUAUUUUUCAUCCGAUUGGUUUUAAAAAAUAACUAACUUUUUUAAAAAGGUUUUUCCGAAUUCAUGAAAAAUUAGUAUUUUCGUUUUUUAUUUUCUAAAAAAAUAAAAAUGCUAAUUUUCCCUAGGAUGUGAAAAAAAUAUUCAAAAAAAUUAAUUUUUCUGAAAACUAACAGCCCCUUGAAGCCUUCGUCUUAAAAAAAAACCGACGGUCCCUAAAGCAAGUGGCAAAGGACUUGAUGAUUGGUACCCGAUAUCCAAAUUCGAAUCCUAAUUAAAAUAAACGAAGCGAGUAGCGUGCUAUCUAUUUCUCAAAAAAAAAAAAAAAAAAAAAAAGAAGCCGAGGAGACCUGAAGUGCAUUAUUGCAAAAUGGCUUGUAGAUGAGGGGCUUCAAACAGAGGAAGUCUACUUUGUGAUAGCUAUGCCGCAUCAUUAAUAAUCAGCCAAUCAGAUUAUUUUUUUUUAAAAAAAUAUAAUAAAAAUAAAUUUUUAAUAAUUAUGAUGGAAUGAAUAGAUUAAAAAAAAUAAUUUUAUUGGUUGAAAACAUCAUAUAUAAAAAAUAACAUAAUUGGUGCAUACUAAAUUUUUUCCUUCAAACAUGUGCACCGCUAAUUUAAAUAAUUAAUUAAUAUGGUUGUUUAUUUUUAUUUGCUUGUUUGUUUGUUUUAUGUCCGAGGAGAGGGACAGCAGGACAGGAGUGAGAGAGAGUAAGACUUGGGGUGGCGUGGGCCACCACCCGACCCUGCAUGAGGGUCGGGAAUCUGCUCAGAACUAUCACGUUCCGAGGUCGAAACGGAUUCCAUUUCCUCCGCAGUCCUCCCCCCGCUCUCAUUCGGGGGAGCAAAAAACGUGGUGCGGUCGGCAGCGGAAGAACCGAAGGAAGAAGUGGAUCGAAGAAGAUGCCACCAUUCCGAUCUCUUUCCCCGCCUUUCACGCUUCCGGAUUGCGAUUAGACUCCUGAUUAGACCACUUUUCUACUGCUUCCUCUAUCCCUUAAUCAUAACAUGUGCUGAUGUGCACCACUCCUUUAAUUUUUAAAAAUAAAUAGUUAUUUAAUUUAUAUACUUCUUCAUAUUAUUUAACAUAUCUCUUCUGUCACUUGACUUCAAACAAGUUCAGCAGAUGAGUUGAAUAUAUAGAAAUGGGCUUCUUUUGAUUUUUGAACGCUCUGAUUAAUUAAAGCGGUGGUAAAAAUACCAAAGAGAGAUGCAAAAGAGCCUGAAAAUCCCACCGUGCAUUAGUUUUGUACAUUACUACACUAACAGCUAGCUAGCUAGCUCCCACCAGCAAGGAUAAACUAAACUCUGAUCAACUCGUAGAUGGAAAAUAAUUAAGAGCCAGGGUUUGAGAACAACGACCACGGAGGGGGGGGGAGGGGAAAGGAAAAGGAAAAGAGGAAGGGCGCAGGUGAACGGAGAGAAAUGAAGAGCGAGGUAGGGUUUUAAUUAAGCGGAGAGCGGAGAACGCGGCAUUAAGUUGAAGCCCAAGUCCUCGUUCUCCAAAACCAAGCGCGGCUUCGUGGAGGGCGACGUGGGCUCGUCCCGGUUCAAAGGUCUCUUAGGAGAGCAACCAUUGAGGGGAACUCCGAAGAGCUUCGGCCUCGCGCUGCUGCUCUCUCCAUUGUCGUUUUGGUUCUGCGGCGGCGGCGGCGGCGGCGGCGGAGAAGGCUCAUCGGCGAUGGUGAGGGAGCUGCUCGAGGUGGUGCUCGCGCUGUUGAGCUCGGGCUUCGUGGCCGCCGACCUGCGCUGGUCGACGAGGCCGCGCAGGCCGCGGGCGGCGACGAGCGGAGACGCCGCGGAGCUCGGGGCCACGGGCUGCACGUGGUUCUGCACGAAGUAGAUGAUGUCGUUGUAGAGCUUCCGCAUGUGGGCCAGCUCCGCCACCAGCGCCGCGUUGCUCCGCCGCAGCCGCUCGUUCUCCUCCACCAACGCCGCCGCUCCUCCUACGUUGGCGGAGGCGGAGGCGGAGGCGGUCGGGGUGGGGCCGAGGACGAGGAGGCGAGGAGAGGGGGAGUCGGUCCAGGGGGGGAGGGGGAGGUGGUGGUGGUGGUGGAAGAGGGGGAGGUGCUGGGGACUAGGGAAAAGGUGAGGAGAGGAGGGAGAAGGGAAGGAGGAGGAGGAGGAGGACGCAGAAGCCGCGGGUGACUUGCGCCGGUGGAUCUCGCACAGAAGAUGCUUCUCCCCCUUCCUAAAGAACUCGUUCGCGAACUCCCACCGCUCCGGCACCACCUUCCUAAACCCCUGCGCAUGCAGGACAUUCAAAAACCCGGCCACUCGAUCGAUCAGAAGCGCCUUAAUUAAUUCCCCCCUCCACAACGUAUGAAUUAAUAACAACAACAAUGAAGUGCAUGCAUGAAGAAUAUAUAUGAAGAGCAUAUAUAUAUAUAUAUAUAUGUAUGUAUGAAUAGGCUGGGAUAUAUGCGUAGCGUACGUAGGUGUUGAGCUGGCGAACGAAGGAGGAGAAGUUGUUGUGCUUGAAGAAGUUGGGGAGGAUGUCGCGGGCGAACUCGGGGGGCCGCCACACGACGAAGGUGGAGACGCGGUCGUCGCCCCACGACACCACGUGGUCGGUCGAGGGGUCGUCCACCAGCUGGUACGUCUUCGUCAAGAACGGCGCCGGCACCGCUUUCUGCGCCUCCGCCGCCCCCGCCCCCGCUCCCGCUCCCCCAACAUUCCCUCCUCCUCCUCCUCCCCCUCCCACCUCCCAAUACCUCUCCGACAUCAUCAAACCCAAACUAACUUAACUUAACUUAUGAGGGAGACGGUCAGAGCGGAGAGUGGAGAACGGAUUGUUUUUUGAGAUUUUAGGAGGGAACUGCUGCUGCCACUAAGAAGAAGGAGACUGGGGAAGCAUGUGGGGGAUUGUUUUUGUUUGUUUCUCUCUCUCUCUCUCUCUCUCUUAAAAUUAAUAAAAACCUGGUAGCGCCUCGGGAGUGGCGAAGAGGGUGGGGGGGGAAUAUGUGUUGUUGUGUCUCUCGGACUCGGAGAGAGAGAGCGAGAGAGAGAUGUGGAGGAAGCUUUAAAGAUUCAGCUUUCGAGAUGAACCCGUGACCCGUUUCUCUGUUUCGCUUCGCUUCGCUUCGUCUCUCUCUCUCUCUCUCUCUCUCUCUCUCUCUUUCUCGGGCGCUUGCUUUGCUUGGCCUUGGUUUGGUCUCGCACACGGAGUCACAGUUCGCUGUGUCUGACGCGCGCGCUCGGGCGCGGGGCAGAGCGCAGCGCGCACGCACUUAAAACAAGCAUCAGCAAAAGCAUGGGCUGACGCUGCUGCUCUGACCCCUCUCUCUCUCUUUCUCUCUCUCUCUCUCUCUCUCGAUCGAAAAAUUCGCGUGCACCUGGCGUUAAUGUGUAUUUCAUACACCACAUGUAUUAUAAUACAUAAUUCGCUGGUAAAAUAUAAAGAGUAUAUUUCUUACAAGUUACAUAUGAUAGUGAAGUGAUAAAUUUUGUGAACCGUAUAGCAGCUACUAGUAAACUAUAUACUUUAUCAUACUAUGACAUGUCAUUACGGUUAAAUAAAGACAAAAAUAUAAUUUAUAAUUUAAAGUAAAAGUUUUUAGACUACCAAAUGAAAAAUAUAAUAUGCUAAGUUAUAGAAAGGCUAACAAAAUUAUUAGAUAAAUUACUAUGUUCAAACAGUUUGCGCAAAAAAAAAUUAUGUAAUUUCAAAAACUAUUUUCUCUGCAUCCAAUAGUUCAAAAAAGCAACUAUAGAAAAAUUAUUAUUCAAUUAAUAAAAAUCCGCAUCUAAAGUUUACAUUCUCGAUAUUCUAAAUAUUAUAUAAUAUAUCUAAUAAAUAUCUUUUACAUAUGAAACUUAUGUUAUAGAUAUUAAAAUGCUACGCAUACACUCUGUCAUAGGAUAUAUACAUCUCACACUUCAUAAUAUAAAAUAUUUUUAAAAAAAAAAAUCAUAUAGCAAAUAUUAAAUUUUAAUAUUUAGAAUGUAAAAUUUAAACUUAUAUUAUAGGCCUACCGAGAGAAUUACUACAUAGAUUUUGAGAUGUGGUAUGCUUAAUUAUGCAUGUGGUCCAGGCAAUAACUUCUGUUUUAAAUCUUUUGUUCUCUCUCUUGUCUUUCUCUCUCUUCUUUUGUGUACGGACUCUGCCUCUGCCCUGCAGGAGCCUUUUAUACGAGUUUGUGAACGUGAGCAUCAUAAAAGGAUUUCUAUUUUGAGUGUAUUCUUUUCUCCUUUUAAUUGCAAGGUGCAGGACGCUUGUGAUGCUCAUGUCUGAUCCUCACAGAGGUCAGGGGAGGAAGAAACAAGAAUAAAUAAAUGGUAAAAACAUAUGAAACCACUUAUCUAAAAUUUGGAUCAUUUGAAUUUUACUGUUCAAUUUUUUAAUAUUUUAAUUUUACUAUACGGCUAGCAAAUAUAUGUAAAUCUGUCACUCUGAUAUGAAGUAGCUCCAAUUAUAACAUCUCAUGAAUACAAAAACUCCAAUGACUAAUAACUCUAAAAAUGUAAUGCUGCUCCAUACAUAGAUACCUCACAUACAAUUUGUCUAUAAUAAAUACAUCAAUACCUCUUACAAAAUACUCCUAAAAAAUGAAAGGUGUAUUAGGGUCCACCUCUAUAUAGUAUUAUCAAUUUGAGUCAAAGUGCAGGUAACUGACUCAAAUAAAAUAAAUUAAAAUGUUGGAUAGUAAAAUCAAAAUUUUGAAUGAUUAGAUAGUCAAAUUUGAAUGAUCUAUAGUUCAUAUAAGUUUCAUAUAUUUUAACUUAUUGCUCCCUCCAAACCAAAAAGGAAAAUGGCAACAUUAUAACCUACAAAUAAUGAUACAUAUAGUUUUACGUAUUAAUAAUUUUAAAUAGGUAUUUAUACUUUGUUGAAUAUAAAUAUUUUAAAUAUCAUUAUUUAUUAAACUAAAGUUUGUGGAUAAAAAUAAUAAUUUUUUAUACGUUUUAUUUGGAUAUAUAAAUAUCUUAUUUGGUAUAUUUUUUUUUAUUUACUUAAUACAAAAUAGUGUAAUUUUGUCUUAGAAAAUACACCUUUUUCUUCUUUUUUUCUUCUUUCUUCCCUACUUCUUGUCCUUUUCUGUACCAGUCACAGCACAUGAUGACUUUUUCAAGAGGAGGAAACUAUAUUUCCUUUCUUUUUUUUUUCUUCCACUCUUUAUCUUUUUUUUUACUAUCGUGCCCUCUUCCUCGCCCUUUGCCGCAUCAGUCGUUAUUGCACCAACGCGCUUUCUUUCCUCGUCGUCCUUAAAUCCGAUUGGACCCUCAUCGUAGUUGUCGUCGCUGUUCGUGCUCUAUGCCGCAACCUCACCUCAGCGAUCUGUGCCAUAUUUGAGCUAACAUCAUUGCCGCCAACAUCAGUAGAGGUAUGGUUGAGGUACAAGGGAGGAACAAAGCUUCGUUGUGAUAGCGGUAGAGGAGAAGAAGAAGGGAGAGUAAGCGGGAUAAGGAGGGGAAAGAACAACGAGACGAAGGGACGCAAAAAGGCAUGAGAGAGAAAAAGAAAAGAGAAAGAGUAAUAAGAUUAUUUUGGCCAAUUUAGUAAAAAUUUCGAUAUAAUUAGCAAAAUCUUAAAAAAUUGUCUAUUUUUGUAAAACCUAAACCCCAGCGAAUAGUUUAUAUAAAUUAUCCUUUUUCGUAUAAUAUAAAAAAUAUUUAAUAAAAUAUUAUAAAUUUCAUAUGUUACAAUUACGACAGAGAAAACCUAAGCUCCAUUUCAGAUUGCAAGGAGAUUGCAUUAUCUACUACAGAAAAUUGCAUGCGAUCGAGAGAUUUUUUUAAAUAUUUUAUUUAUUUUCGUACAUAUUGUCACAUUCCACAUAUCACAAUGACAAUGAGAUAAAUACACUAUACUUUCUAUGAUUCUUUUUAUUUUUUAUGCUCACUUAUGUAUUAUUUCACCCAAAAUUUAUAGUGUUAAAGUGAGUUUUAGUACCAAGCAGAUUUUUACUCAUGAGUCAUGAACGAGGGGCCAGCAUCUUCUGGUGAGCUUCGUCGCACUACUCGUAUUCUCUGUUCAGUGAGUCGGGCCCCCGGAAAAAGCUGAGAUCAUGUGGCAGCAUCUGCUAGCGAACAUUAUUUAGCAAGCAUUACCUUACAACUUACAACCCCCCAUCUCGAGAUCCGUGUUGAGAUUUCGCGACCACUGUUUUUCCCGCUAGCUUUAACAAGUGCGCAAGUGGAUGGCCGAGCGAGUCCAAAACCCAGAAGAAUCUCUCCCCUACACGACGACGUACGUGUACCAGUCCUCUGCGCCUCGGAUCGAUCCAUCACCGCCGUCCAUUUUGAUCGACCAUCUUUUAUGUUUCCGGCAUAAAAUAGUUAAUCUUAAAUCUAAAAACAUCUAAAAUGCGCCAGUUAUAUAUAUUCCUUGAAUUCACCUGUCCCACUAUAAUUAAUAAAAAAAAUAUAAUUAAUUUAUUAUUUGAUAAUGUGAUGCAAAUAUAACACAAUAAAUUUUUUUUCUUAAUUAUUAAAUAAUAGGUGGCCCGAGACUAAAAUUUACCUUGAAUAUUGUGCGAGUUAUAUGAUGAGAUUGCCUGCUUUGAUACGAUUGAUAGUGGGACUCUAAUCUCCCACGCAUCUAUUGCUAAGAUACAAAUAAUUAAAAUUUUUAAAUAUAAAUAUUAAAAGUAACUAUAAUUUAUUUUUUUUAAAAUAAAUGAGUGAAGUGGGACCCAAAGACUCCGUGCACCACGGAUCCUAUCAACUUCGGCGCCUCUUCACAAGCAUGAGAGAGAGAGAGAGAGAGAGAGAGGAAGAUUCUAUUCUAGUUUUUUGAACGAUGAACCCCACCGUCUCUUCUAUGUUUUUUUUUAAUACAUUUUUUCUCUCUCACGUGACCACCGCAAACCCACUUUUGAGCUCGGAUAAAAUUCAAAUACAACUCUCAUAGUUUUACAAUUUCUCACUUUAGUAUCAUAUGAUUUAAAAUGUAUCAAGUUAGUAUACUAUAAUUUUAUUUUAAUUUUUUCGUCAAUUUUUUCGUUAAUAUUUUGUUAAAUUAUAUACAAAAAAAACUUCAGAUACCCCACCUUGGUUUAUCAAAUAUUUAUUUUAGUACUCUUUAAUUUUAGCUUUAUCAUUGAUUUAACGAAAAAAAAUUAGUGGAAUCGAUAAUAAAAACAUAAAAAUGAAACCAAAAAGUACUAAAUUGAUACACUUUAAACCAUAAAGUAUUAAAGUAAGAAAGUAUGAAAUCAUACAAAUGAUAUUUAAAGUUUUUUCUUUAAUUUUUGAGUGAUUGAAGUGUUUUUAUCUUAUGAUGGUCAGAACUAAACGGGCCCUCAGAGUAAUGCUAAAUGUACACCCCUAUUAUAGGUAUAAAUCUUUGCACUCCUCUUAUCCAGGACUUUAAUUUUCUACUCGUCAUAUAAAAAAAAACUAAAAAAUUUAAAAAAUUUGUGAAUCUUUGGAUACUUGAGGUGUAAUAUUUUCAUCUACCUAUAGAUGUACAUAUAGCAUUUUUUUAUCUCUUAUUUAACACAUUCCUUGUACGUAUUUAUAUCUUUUAUCACCCAUACAUAUAAUGAAUUGUGAAAUAAACGGGCUCACAGUAGAGACUUUUCUGGCCAAUUUUUUUUUCUCAUGUCACUGCGGAGUUAAAGGGGUCAUUUAAGUUAACAUACAAAAGUUAGUAUAAAAUUAUAUGGAACUAGACAAAUAUACUAUUAAUAGCACAAAGUCAUUGGUGCUACCAAGUUUUUGGCCAUUGGAUUAAGAGAUGUACGGUUAGAAUGAUAUAGACCUCCUAGGGUUAAGUGGGUGGUUGGUUGAAUAGUAUGAUCUAACGGAUGAAAGUGAUCAAAAGGAUAGAUCUAAUGGUGGAAAAUUUGGUAGCACCAAAUGUUUCGUACUAUUAAUAGCAUAGUAGCCGAACUCAAAUUACAUGUUCAUUAACUCAUUGCAUGAUAUAAUAAUUCUUGUUUGGAACUAGGAGAGAGAGAGAGAGAGAGAGAGUAGGAAGCAGCUUAAGUUUGUCAUAAAAGUCAGGAAAAAGUUACUAAAAUUUUUGGAACAGAGGAAACUUAAUUGUUUAAAAUAUUAAACACAUUAAAGAGUUCAAAAAUUGUUAUAACUAUGUGAACCUUAAAUAAACAGUACGUUCGUAAAUUGAAUUUACUGAGCACCACAUAAAUCUAGUCACGGCACUGCGGUCCCCUCUCAUCACAAUCAAUAAAAAGGACGCAGAGAGGAAUAUUUUUGCAGUCCCAAUUAGGACAUCUGAGCAGGAACUGUGCAAUUUUUUCCUUAGAUGCUAGGGAUAUGUAGAUGUUUUUUUAACACUUUUGGAACAAAAAGUGAGCAUGUUGGGAACUUUAAACACAUGAAAAGCAGGGAGAGAGAGAGAGAGAGAGAGAAAGAGAAAGAGAAAGAGGGGGAGAAAAUGUAAUGGUGUAUUUUCUUGGGAAUAUAUAUAUAUAUAUAUAUUAAAUUUCUUANCCCUUUAAUUUUAGCUUUAUCAUUAAUUUAACGAAAAAAAAUUAGUGGAAUCAAUAAUAAAAACAUAAAAAUGAAACCAAAGAGUACUAAAUUGAUACACUUUAAACCAUAAAAUACUAAAGUAAGAAAGUAUGAAACCACAGGAAUAAUAUUUAAAGUUUUUUCUUUAAUUUUUGAGUGAUUGAAGUGUUUUUAUUUUAUGAUGGUCAGAACUAAACGGGCCCUCAGAGUAAUGCUAAAUGUACACCCCUAUUAUAGGUAUAAAUCUUUGCACUCCUCUUAUCCAGGACUUUAAUUUUCUACUCGUCAUAUAAAAAAAAACUAAAAAAUUUAAAAAAUUUGUGAAUCUUUGGAUACUUGAGGUGUAAUAUUUUCAUCUAGCUAUAGAUGUACAUAUAGCAUUUUUUUAUCUCUUAUUUAACACAUUCCUUGUACGUAUUUAUAUCUUUUAUCACCCAUACAUAUAAUGAAUUGUGAAAUAAACGGGCUCACAGUAGAGACUUUUCUGGCCAAUUUUUUUUCUCAUGUCCCAUUCUCUGUAGCUGCGGAGUUAAAGGGGUCAUUUAAGUUAACUUACAAAAGUUAGUAUAAAAUUACAUGGAACUAGACUAAUAUACUAUUAAUAGCACAAAGUCAUUGGUGCUAUCAAAUUUUUAACUAUUAGAUUAAAAGAUGUGCGGUUAGGAUGAUAUAGACUCUCUAGGAUUAAGUGGGUGGUUGGUUGAAUAGUAUGAUCUAACGGGUGAAAGUGAUCAAAAGAAUAAAUCUAACAGUAAAAAACUUAAUAACAUAAAGUAUUUCGUACUAUUAAUAGCAUAGUAGCCGAACUCAAAUUACAUAUUCAUUAACUCAUUGCAUGAUAUAAUAAUUCUUGUUUGGAACUACGAGAGAGAGAGAGAGAGAGAGAGAGUAGGAAGCAGCUUUAAGUUUGUCAUAAAAGUCAGGAAAAAGUUACUAAAAUUUUUGGAACAAAGGAAACUUAAUUGUUUAAAAUAUUAAACACAUUAAAGAGUUCAAAAAUUGUUAUAAUAUGUGAUCCUUAAAUAAACAGUACGUUCGUAAAUUGAAUUUACUGAGCACCACAUAAAUCUAGUCACGGCACUGCGGUCCCCUCUCAUCACAAUCAAUAAAAAGGACGCAGAGAGGAAUAUUUUUGCAGUCCCAAUUAGGACAUCUGAGCAGGAACUGUGCAAUUUUUUUUUUUUUUUCUCUCUCUCUCUCUCUCAGAGAAGCAUAAAGAAGCAUCUCAGAGUCUCAGGUGCCACCAAUGAGAAAAAUUAAAAAUAAAAAAAAAUAAAAAAGGAGAACCCACUUUAUAAUAACACAACUCCUUGCUCGAAAGGAACGAUGUAAUUUGACAAAAUGCGUCAACGUUUCCAUUAUUCCUUAGAUGCUAGGGAUAUGUAGAUGUUUUUUUAACACUUUUGGAACAAAAAGUGAGCAUGUUGGGAACUUUAAACACAUGAAAAGCAGGGAGAGAGAGAGAGAGAGAGAGAAAGAGAAAGAGAAAGAGGGGGAGAAAAUGUAAUGGUGUAUUUUCUUGGGAAUAUAUAUAUAUAUAUAUAUUAAAUUUCUUAAUCCUAAAGCCGAAUGCUAUCCUGCAAGGUUAAUAGGAAAGUGAUGGGAGGAUUGACUUGCUCCUGUGGAGAAAAGUGCUUUUCGAGCAAGCCGCAUCAUUCCAUCAGGCUUUGUGAAAGUCAAGUGGACAAGAUUAAAAUUAAAAUGUUAAUUAAUAUCCAGUGUAAAAUUUCUUUGGCACGCCUAGAUCUCAUAAUGAAGAUUUAUAUGACUAUAAUUAUCUAAAGUAUCAAUAAUUUUGUUCAGAGAGUUUCAUAAUUUUUCAUUAUUGUGGAAGCCUCCUUUAUUUUUGUUGUUCAACAAUCUGAUGUUCAACCGACCGUCCCUAGACCAAGUGACAAAAGAUUCGGUGGUUAGUACUCGAGGUCCCAAGAUCGAAUCUUAUUCGAUUCAUAUUUUCAGCUAAAUUUAUUUUUAAGAAUAAUAAAAUUAUUGCAAAUAAAAAAAAAGAAAUAAAGUAGAUAACACGCUAUCGUUCUAUCAAAGACACUCAAUUGGUCUAAACCUUGAUCUAAAUGUUCAAACUCAUAUAACAAUAUUGUAGUGCUUAGUUCUUUUAAAAAGGAAAGAGUUUUGAAUAAGAAGUUAGGUUUUUGGACUCUAUUGUAAGCUUAUUUCAGAUUUUAGUCGUUUGCCAAAUACCUAAUUGUUUACUUUUUGAAUUCGAAAAAUCAAAACCUAGCUACCAAAUAGGAACUAAGCCAUUAUAUUACCUACCAAUUUUGUUUGAGAAUUCCAGAGUGGCAGUUUAAAAUGAAUUCAGAGGUCUCCAAAGCAAACAGAAACAUAUUGUAGAGCUGGUCAACAUGCAUAAGAAGUUCCACCCCAGAUUAUUGCAUACGUUUGAAAGGUCAUUUGAGGGAAUUAACAGGAGUGCAGGGAGUGGGCAUAGACUUAUGAAUCAUGCAUGAUGCCUUAAAAAGCUUGGUCAGAUGAUUCAGGAACUGAGCAUUUUGGAGUGGCACUGGGACCAAAAAAAGCAGAAGCAAAGUUGAGAAGAAAACAAAGAUGGGAGAAGAGUUAAAGGGCCUGCGCACACUCUGAUGCCUAGGGGACACAAAGGCUGUUCAUAGCACAUGCUCCUCCCCCUCUCCUCCAUCUCCUCUACUCUUCUUUUUAUUUUGCCCAUCAAAAGAAGCUUUGGAAGGACCCACUCUUAAAGCCUGCAAUGCACAGGGGAAUUCAAUGGCUCAAUCAAAAGCAAUCAAAAGUAAAUCACACCCCCUCUUCUUUUUUUUUCUUUUUCUUUUUUUUUUUCCUACUAUUGAAAACCUUACUUGGGCUGAAAAUUACUGUGUGGAUUUGGUUCAUGACAUCUAUCCUACAUUCAAUAAAUAUAACUUCAUGAAAUUACUAUCCACUGUCCUUAGUGCUGAUGGGAAAGUGUUUUUCAGAUUUUUAGUAGAAUAAGAAGGUUCGCAAUUUGCUAAUGCAGAUCAUCUAUAAGUUUCUAUGUAAAGCACAAAUUUUGUUGAAACGUAAGGCGAAGCAUGUGGCAAGUGUUAUUUGAACAUUGGAUCACAUUUUUAUGAAUCGCCAAACCACCAAUACUAAAAUCAAUCCACCUAAGGAUAGGUGGAUUAGGUAUCUGCUUGGAAGUUAUAAAUUCUAAGUUCAUAUCCAAAUUGGUUUACCAAGGAGACAUGAUUAGAGAGCCAUCGGUCUAUAUUCAACAACAACAACAAAAACAAAUUUUUUUUUUUUUUUUUUUUUUUCAAAAGCUCAGUGCAGGUGGCAAAGUGUUUUUCAGCUUUUUGGUAGAAUAAGAAGUUUUAAGAUUUUCAUAAGUAAAUCAUCUGUAAGUUUCUAUGUAAAGCACAAAAUUUGUUGAAUACAUAAGGCCGAGCAUGUCGCAAGUGUUAUUUGAAUAUUGAAUGACAUUUUUAAUGAUCGCUAAACCACCAAUAUUUGAUCAAUCCAACUCUGGAGAGGUGGAUUAGGUAUAUGCGUGGAAGUUAUAAAUUCUGAGUUCAAGUCCAAAUUGGUCUACCAGAUGCAUGAUUAGAGAGCCUUCGGUCUAUAUUCAACAACAACAACAACAACAAAUAUAUAUAUAUAUAUAUAUAUAUAUAUAUAUAGAAUUAUGCUCCUAUACUAUCAAUAGUACCAAGCCCUUGGUACUAUUGAGUUUUUGGCCAUUGGAUGAAAGGAUGUGCGGUUAGGAUAAUAGUGGUCCCCUAGGGUUGAGUGGGUGGUUGGUUUAAUAGUAUAAUCUAACGGGUGGAAAUGAUCACAUGGUAGAUCUAACGGUAGAAGACUCUAUAUAUAUAUAUAUGUAUGUAUACAUAGAAUUAGGCUACAUUACUAUCUCUAGUACCGAGCUCCGGUACUAUAGUGUUUGUUUUCGAUCUUAGGGCGUUCAAAUCAACGAUCCACACCGUUAAAUAUGAUCUAGGGUAUAUGAAUUUCUUAGGAAUAAAAUUUUAGUUCUUUUCGAUAUCGUUUACUUAGUAAAUAAAUUAUAUCAAAAUGGACGGUGGAAAUUGAAUAAUCUUUAAAAUUUGAGCAUAGGACUUUUAAAUUCAAGAUCAAGAAUGUUAACCUUAAUCUAUAUAGUUUAAAGUAUUUUCUAUCAAAAUUUGAAGAAAUUUAGAUUCUUCUACACCGUUAAACUCCAAACUCGUCAUAAUAGCCAUUGAAAAUUGAUAAUUUUGAAAUAGUUUGAUCAUAAAGUAAACUAUGUCGAAAAAAUAUAAAAUUUUAUUUCUAGAAACUUUAAAUACCCUAGAUCAGUUUUAACGGUGUGGAUCGUUGAUUUGAACGCCCUAAGAUCGAAAACCAACACUAUAGUACCGGAGCUCGGUACUAUAGAUAGUAUAGUAGCCUAACUCUAUAUAUAUAUAUAUAUAUAUAUAUAUAUAGCACCAAGUUUUCGGUAUACGUGUGGAAGUUAUAAAUUCUAAGUUCGAGUCCGGCUACAAUGCUAUCGAUAGCACCAAACACUUGGCGUUAUCAAGUUUUAUACCGUUCGAUUAACCUUUUUAAUCAUUUUCAUCCGUUAAAUCACACUAUUCAACCAACCACCUACUCAACCCUAAGGGAUCACUAUCAUAAUAACCGUACAUCGAUUCAUCCAAGGGCCGAAAACUUAAUAGCAGCAAUGACUUGGUGCUAUUAAUAUUAUUUUAGCCUAGUUCUACAUAUAUAUAUAUAUAUAUAGAGUGCGUCUGGUAUGCUUCUGGAAGCACGGAGCGCUCCGUGCUUCCAAGUUGUUUUCGAUGUUCGGACUUUCGAAUCGACGAUCGGCUCCGUUAGGCUUGAUCUAGAGUAUUUGAAGUAUCUAGAAAAUAAAUUUUGCGAUUUUUAGAUAUCAUUUGCCUAGUGAUCGAAGUGGCUUAAAAUCAACGGCUGAAAAUAAAAAUCUUACAAAAUAUGAUGAUAUGACAUUAAAAUUUUAGAUCAAAGUUAUUGAUCUUGUUUUAUGUGAUUUGAAUAUUUCUAUACUGUUAAACUUGCAAACGGCUCACCAUGGCGAUUAAAAUUAUCGAUUUUGAGCCCCUUCGAUCACUAGGCAAAUGAUAUCGAAAAAUUACAAAAUUUAUUUUCUAGGUACUUCAAAUACUCUAGAUCAACUCUAAUAGAACCGAUCGUCGAUUCGAAAGUCCGAACAUCAAAAACAACUUGGAAGCACAGAGGCCUCCGUGUUUUCAGAAGCAUAUCAACCCACUAUAUAUAUUUCAAAAGCUCAGUAACACAUUUUGGUAACUAGAUUCUCAGAAGUCAACCAUAUAAGAAGUCAAAGAUUCGAGCACCUUGUACGCUUAAAUUUGAACCCAACAAGACUCCUCAGGAGAUGUUGGAACUGAACGAUCUACAAUUUAUUUGGAAUAAUGUAAAUGGGUUGUUAUUUCCAAUGAUUUUUACCUGUUCUACCACCUCUAAAUUUUAUAAGAUUUUUGGCCGGCUAAGAGGUAUUUUUGUUCGUCUAUAAAAUUUGUAGGAAUAUAUAAUUUUUUAUCUUUUUUUAUCGAGCUAUAUUACGUAUUUUAAAGAAUUUGUAGGGAUAUGCAAGUAAUUAGCCCUUUUUUCUAUUUAAUUUUUUUUGGUUGAGAAAAUCUACGGAAUCUUUGUGAAGGUCCUAACACACUGAUCCUUUGGGCGUAAACAUACGAAUCCCAACCUUAACCUAAUAUGAUAUUUUGGCCUGUACUAGGAUUGAACAUGAACUUUAGUCUUACGGCCUUUAAUUGCCCAAUUUCAUUCUCAAGAGGCCCCAACAGUGUAUUUUGGGCUAAAAAGUGCACCGCACAAUAGGUCGUUGAUUCUUCCUAACACAUCUGGCCCCUGUUUCGUAUGGGGUUAAGGGCUGGAAUAACACCUUAACCCCAUACUCCCAAACACCCAUGGGGCCCCAAAAGGGGUUAUCCCAUUGGGGUGGGGUUUGUUAUUCCACCUAUUCCAACCAAACACUAUUUUUUAUUAUUCUGAGCUAACUCCAACCCCGAAUCAAACAGAAAAUACUCUAACUCCACCUUAACCCUGAACUUAACCCUAUUCAUAGAAUAACUAGUUUUUUCUUAACCCCAAACCAAAUGGUAGCAUAGAGUUGAGCUCCUAUAUUUUUAAAAGUAUCAAGUGAUUGUUGGGCCCUCAGAUUAAGGAAUUUGCAAUUAGGAUGAUAAUGGUCUCCUAGAAUUUAGCGAAUGGUUGGGUAAAUAAUAUAAUCCAACGGAUAAAAAUAGUCAAAGGAAUAGAUCUAACGGCGAAAAAUUUACAAGUACCAAAUGCCAUACCUAGACUCACACAUCUUAUAUACACCAAGCCGAUAAUAUUAUGCCAUGUAAAAUAGUAAAUAGUUCAAUAAAAGGAUAAUAUGACAAUACUAUGUUAAAAAUAAUGACGAUAAAAAAUUAUCAUACAUUUAUGUAAUAUACAGAUAUUUAAUCGAAUAUUAUUAUUUUUAUAUAAAAUAAUUGGAGUAGAACAGAGGUUUUUUCAAUUCUAGAGCUACUAACAGUUACAGCAUCAGUGACAGCCCACAUGGCACCACAAAAAAGCAAUUACUCUUGCAAGUCUCUUUUUUGGUGGUACGCCCCAUUACACUCACAAACGUAUUAAUUAAUUUAAAAUAUAAAAUUAAAAUAAAUUAAAGAAAUCAUAUAAAAGGAGCCUAAUAAAAUUUAAUAAUUUUUGUUACAUGCACUUGUUUAAAAAUAAGAUUAAUAUGUAUACAACCCCCUAAAUUUUUAUUUGAUUUAAACUCUAUCUAAUUUGUAAUAGUUUGCUUUAGCUCUUUUUAUUAAAAAUUUUACGGAUUCUGUUAGUAUCAAAUACCCACGAAAAAUGUAUAUGAUUUUUCAGCUGGCUAAAGUAACGUUUUAACACCUUCAUCUCUCACGGACGUUUACUACAAUUAUUACAGGAUGAUCAAAAAAUGUUAAUAAAAAUCAAAUGAGUAAUAAGCGAAAGAAGUGUAAAUCACGUUAAAAAAAAAAAAAAAGGGACUAGAGAAUCAAUUUUACAACGGGAUAAAGUUUACUGGGAUGUUCUACAUACAACUGAGAACGAGUAAACGGAAGGACGAUAGUACUUCUCUUACCGAUCUCUGACACGUGCACAUCUGAGUGGCUUCUCACCGUUGGAUUCCGUUAUACGCGGGACCGCACCAUUAAAGAGCGUACUGAGAGGCCCAGGAGACAUUCGUCCUCCGAGCCCUGACCGCGUCAUGUGAUACGGGGCGGUGACGAUAUAGUAAUAUAAAUUCUGUACCUCCACGUCCGAAAUAUAUAUAUAUAUAUAUAUAUAUAUAUAUAUAUAUAUAGGAUAAGUUUUCUGUACUUUCGAAAGUACGGAGACCUCCGUGCUUAUAAGUUAUUUUCGAUGAUAGAAAAUCCGAUUCGACGAUCGGCUCCGUUAAAUAUAAUCUAUCCUAUUGAAACUAUUUAGAAAUCAAAUUUUAUAACUUUUUUACAUCAUUUACCAAGCGAUCAAAAGAUCUCAAAAAUGACUAUUUUAACGGCCGAUGUGGCACGCUUUUAAGUUCAACGGUGUAGAAGUAUCUAAAUUAGAUGAAAAUUUAAUAGAAAAUUCUACUUAACAUCAAUAGCAAGACCAAUACUUCCGAUUUGAAAUUUGAGUCUUUUAUCAUUAUUUUUUAUGAGAUUUUUAUUUUCAGCCGUUCAUUUUGAGGCUACUCGUUUACAAGACAAACGAAGUAAAAAAUUUAUGAAAUUUGAUUUCUCGGUAGUUCUAAUAGCGUAGAUCAUAUCUAACGGAACCGAUCGCCGAAUCAGAUGUCCCAUUAUUAAAAACAACUUACAAGUACGGAGGCUUCCGUACUAUCAAAAGUAUAGGAGCCUAGCUAUAUAUAUAUAUAUAUAUAUAUAUAUAUAUNAUAUAUAUAUAUAUAUAUAUAUAUAUAUAUGAGUUGAGCCAGAAUGCUAUCACUAGCAAACGGGCUCCGUUGUCAUCCAUUUGUUUUUGAUGAUGGAGCCUUCGAAUUGACGAUCGACAUCGUUGAAUAUGAUCUAUACCACUUGAAGUAUUUAGAAACCAAAUUUCAAAUCUUUUCGAUAUUAUUGACCUAAUGAUCAAAGGGUUGCAAAAUUUAUAAUUUUAAUGGUAGAUAUGAUGUAUUUUCACGUUUAACGGUGUAAAACUAUCCAAAUCAAUUGAAUUUUUGUUAGAAAAUUCUUUAAACUAUUUAGAACAAGAUCUGUACUCUCGAUCUUGAUUAUAAAAUUUCUAUCAUCACUUUUUAGAGGAUAUUCAUUUUCAACCGUUUAUUUUUGCGCUCACUUGAUGGACAAGAGAAUAAUAUCGAAAAAGCAUGAAAUUUGAUUUCUAGAUACUUUAACUGGUUUAAAUCAUAUUCAACGGUGCCGAUCGUCGAUUUGAAGGCUCCAUUAUUGAAAACAAAUGGGUGACAACGAAGCCGGUUUGCUACCGAGAGUAUUCCAGCUCAACUCUUAUAUAUAUAUAUAUAUAUAUAUAUAUAUAUAUAUAUAUAUAUAUAUAUAUAUAUAUAUAUAGGGUCCGGCUACUAUACUAUCGGUAGACGCAGAGGCCCCAAUCUACAAGUUGUUUUCAUGAUCGCUCCGAAGAUCAAUGAUCGGCUCCGUAGACUUAAUCUAUAGUAUUUUUUUUAAAAAAAUAAAAGUAUUGAAAUUAAAUUUCAUAAUUUUUCGAUAUCAUUUGGCCGUGAUUCAAUGGUCUCAAAAUUGACGAUUUAACGUUGAUGUUAUAAUCAUUUGUAGAAUUUAACGGUCGCAAAACAGAUCCAAACUGAUGAUUUUUAUAGAAAAUUCUUUACAGAUUUAGAGUAAGAUCAGUGUCUCUGAUCUUAAAUUCAAGUCUUUUCAUUAUUUUAAUAAAAUUUUUAUUUUCAGCCAUUGCAUUUGAAACUACUCGUUUGACAGGUAAAUAAUGUCGAAAGAAAAUAAUAAAUUGUAAAUAAAAUUUAAAAAAAUAAUCAAUAAAAACAAAAAAAAAAAACAUUAUUAUCGAACAUUUAGUUUCCAAUACUUUUAAUAGUGUAGAUCAAGUCUAAUGGAACCGAUCGUCGAUUUGGAAACUACAUCAUUGAAAACAACUUUGUAGUAAGCGGAAGCCUCCAUGCUACCGAUAGUAUACCAGCCUAGCAUUAUAUAAUACUAUAUAUAUAUUGAAAAAUCACAAAAUUUCAUUUUAGAUACUAUCAAUUGGCUAGAUCAAGUCUAACGGAGCCGAUCUCGAUCGAAAAAACUCCAUCAUCGAAACGGCUAAGGAGCACGGGGCUCGCGUGCUCCUAAUAGCAUAUAAGACUACUAUAUAUAGAUUACUAUAUAUAUAUAUAUUUAUAUAUAUAUAAUUAUAUAUAUUAUAAUAUAUAUAUAUUAAAUGAGAUAAUUGGGAUCUGUAGUGCUAAGGCAACUAUCUAACAUCACGUGUUGAUAGAAAGAAGCUACUCUCGCCUAAUGGCUUGCUUCGCGAGUUUUCAAUCCUGAAUCGAUCAACUACUAAAAUGUUGGAUCUAUUGUUAGGCUUCUUAUCGUUAGGUCUCUUGUGGAUCACAGUCUCAUUCAACUUAUUUUAACCAAAUAAUAAAUAGAGAACAAUUCCCCUCCUCCCAAACACAUGCACCGUUAAUACAGUAUAUGAAAAUCGAAUCCACGCCACUGGCUUGAUACCAUUUGUGGAUCAUAACUGCUAACUAACUAUCUCAAAAGCACGUGCUGAUAGAAAGAGCGUACGCCGCACAGCAUGUGCUGAUAGGAAGAGCGUACCCAUCGCACUUAAGGCUUAACCACAGUGCUCGCGGGUUUCGACCUGACUUAACGCAUUUGGACAUUGAAUCUAUUGUUGAGCCUCUUGCCAUUAGAUCUCUUGUAGACCGCAGUCCCACUCAACUUAUUAGGCUCACUCAACUCAACUUAUUAGUCUUCUGAGUCUAUUGCCACAUGGCAAAAAGUUGAACCUGUUUUAGCCUUAAUAAUAAAUAGCCAACAAUAUUAUAUUAAAUUUUUUAUUUGAUCAAGGAGCAUAAAUUUAAUUAGUUCCAUUUACAUAUAUCAUUUAGAGUUCAGUUACUAUACCAACGAUAGUACCAAGCGCUUAGUGCUAUCGAGUUUUCUGCCGUUAGAUCUACUUCUUUGAUCAUUUUUAUCCGUUAGAUCAUAUAUACUAUUCAACCAACCAUCCACUCAAGCUUAAGGGACCACUAUCAUCCUAACAGCACAUCCAUCCAUUUAAGAGCCGAAAAUCUAAUAGCACCAAACGUUUAGUAAUAUUAA
rnacentral:lncRNA from 1 species